rnacentral:lncRNA from 1 species
GCCCCAUCCAGAUAGAUUGGCUGCAUCCGUCAAAGCGUCUCUGAAGCUCUGCACUUCUUCCAACGUCAGAGCUUUAUUCCUUAUAAGUCUAGCAAAUGCAUCCCCAAAGCUUCCUGUUUGAUGUCUUACAUGGGUUGGAUCCACCUUGUAGAAUACCGGAAUAACUAUCUGUCCAUUGUUUUUUCUACACUCAAAAAUCUUUACAAGCUCCUCCAAGCACCAUUUGGAAGAUGCAUAGUUUUCAGAAAAAACAAUCACAGAAAGCUUGGCCUCUUCAAUUGUUCUCAGAAGUGAUGCCGAGAUCUCAUCUCCUCUCACAAGCUGAUUAUCUAUGAAAGUUAGGAUUUGUUUCCGGUCCAAAGCAGCAAGGAGGUGGCUGGUAAAACCAGCAAGAGUGUCUUGUUCGCUGAAACUAAGGAAGACAUCAUAUUUAAUUCCUUGUGGCUGGGCGGUGGUUAAGGUGGAAGGAGUAGAUGGCGAUGGAGAUAUAUGAUGGUUUCGUAUGAUGAAUCUCCAGAUAUAAGCAAACAUUUCGAAGAAACAAGAGUAAUUAGACUCUGGUGGUAAGGUAGGUCUGGAGGGAGAGAGCGGAAGUAACUCAAGGAAAAAAGAUGAGGCUGAUUUUGAAUCAGUAGCUUAGGCUUUACGUGUUUAAGACCCUGCCUUAGGCAUAUGUAUAAUUUAUAGGCAUCAAAUCCAAGAAUUUUCUUAGAACAUUACAAGAUUGCACAUUGUUGAUUUCCUGGAAAUUCCCCAGUUACAAAGUGAUGUGAUAGGAACAGGCAUUUAUACGUUGUUUUGUUUUUAUGGUAUUGACAGUCAGGGGCGGAGUUAGGAUUAUUUGUUAGGGGGAGCUAAAUUUAAUAUAGCAAGAUAUAAUAUUUGUUUUAAUUUAUUGUACAUGAGUUGUAAAACAAAGGUAAAAUAUUUGGAGUAAUAUCAAAUUAAAUCAAAGCCAUAAUGUUAAUUUCAUCUUAAUAAUAUAUCUAUUACUUUAAUGUUGUUGAUCUUUAUAUCUAUCAAAUAUAAACAUACAAAAUAUAUAAAAAACACUAUCUAAAACGAAGCAUUAUUUAUGUUUGAUAAACUUUAAAAUAAAGGAAAAAAUAAUAAAGAAUGAUUUUUACAUAUUUAUUUUAACUGUGCUCGUCGUUCUUUCAUAGAAUAGAAAUCAUCGAUUAUCAUAUCAAUUGUGAAUCUUUCAGCAAUUUUUUUUCUAUAUAGACAAUCAAAUAAUUUGUAAGAAAAUCAUCCUCCAUAUGAUGGAUUGCGAAGUCUUAUUUUAACAAUUGUUAUCACUGAAAAAGUUCGUUCAAUAUGAUGUGAAUUAUCAAUAUUUUUUUUAAAAAAAAUCAAUUCUUCUUAUUUUGUUCAUGUUUCAACCUAAAAUCAAAACAUUUAUCAUAAGAAAAAAUUGAUAAUUUUGGUGGUUCUGCUCUCUCUCUCUCUCUCUCUGUCUCUGUCUCUCUCUCUCUCUCUCUAUAUAUAUAUAUAUAUAUAUAUAUAAUUCAAGCACAAUCAAAACAAACCAAUAAAAUAUAUCUAAUUAAUUAGAAAAAAAAUCAUUAUAACAAGAAUUCAAAAAAAAUAAUUGGUAGAACUAACAAAUCUGAGAAAAAAAGGAGAAAAAAUCAUAGAAUUAUAUAUAAAAAAACAUUAUCAAAUUAUUAACAAACGUUUCAAAACAAAACAAAAUUAGAUUUUAAAUUUAAGUUGUCUUGUUUUGUUUGAUGAAAAACAAAUUAAUUGGUGGCUCUGCAUCGAUCUUUUUGUAGAAAAAUUUUGCUCGUAAUUUAUGUUUUUAUUUAUGUUUUUGAUCAGCUGCAAGAUUUAUAUUACGGUAAAUUGGUGUCUUUGUUUUUUAUUUUACAAAAUAAUACUCUUAUAUUUUUUCCCUUCCCACGUAGUAAAGAGUAAAUUCAAAAGAAAUCAAAAAUAAAAUCACACUUAAUUUAAAUUUAAAGCUCACCUCUUUAAAAUAAAAAAUAUAGCAUCUCCUCACAUUUAAUUACUAAUACCCAGCAAUUAAAAAAACAUUGUGUUGCAGGGGGGGCCCGGGCCCCUGCUAGCCCCCCCUUGCUUCCGUCCCUGUUGACAGUGUUUUUAUAAAUUUUGAUUUUUUUUUAUUUUUUUAAAAUUAUUUUUUUUAUUAUUGUAAUAUACUGAUAUAAAAAUAAUUUUUAAAAAUAAAAAAACAUAUAGAUUCUUGUUUAUCACAUCACAGCUGUGAUAGAUAACUUUUUUCAUAUUUCAAAUGUAUUAGCUGUUCCCUUAGCGGAGUAGCAGAUCUUUUGUUAUUUGAUCGAGUGCAGUAUAACCUUUUUAAUGAAGUUUAUUUGUUAUUAUCGUAUUGAUAGAGAAUAAAUUAAUUUUUUAAUAUUUUAUAAUUAUAAUAGAAUUAUUUAAAUAUUCUUAAAAAUAAAAAAUAUGAAUUAGAGGUUUAAUAUGUUUCAGUCUUUUAAUGUUUUAAUAGCAUAAUAAAAUGAUUUCAUUAUUUUUAAAUACAAAAUAAUUAAAAUUGAUGUCCAAGUAUUUUUUUAAUAUUUUUAUCGUAGCUUUUUAGUUAUAAUUAAUAUGAAUUAGAGGUAAUUUAAUAUGUUAUCACUUAUAAUUAUAAUUAGAGGCAAAUGUAUAAUUAUAAUACGGGGGUUAUCAAAUUCAAGUAUUUUCUCAGGACAUUACAGAGGGUGCACACUGUUGAAUCCAUAAAUUUCUUAUGUACAAAAAGCUUGAGGUCUUGUUAUUUGUUUUCCUGUGACUUGGACGGAAAGGGUAUUUAUGCUUUGUUUGUCUUUGCAGUAUAAACCAUGUUUUUAUAAUAUAUUUUUUUAUUUGAGAUUAAUUUUUUUUAGUUAUUUUGGAUGUAUGUUAGUAAAAAAAAAAUAUAAAAAAAAAAAAAAAUUAUCUUAAUAUAUUUUCAAUUAAAAAAUACUUUAUAAAAUUAUUACCAACUUGUAAACACUCUCCAUAUAUUGGGUCCAAAUGUUUGCGCGCGGUGAGGCUUUUUUUGCCUUUACAUUAUAUUAUAAUGGUUAUAUUGAUUUAAUUGAGAAGAAAUUGUUAUAAAUUAAUUUGAUAUUAUAGUAACGGCUGGUUUUUAAUAUAUUUUUUUAUUUUUUAAAUUUUAUUUUUAAUAUCACACAUCAAAAUUAUAUAAUAACAUGAAGAAAAAAAUUAAUUUAAAAUAAAAAAUAAAAUCCACAUAUUUUCUGGAGACGUUACAAGGGGGCGCAUUAUUUACUAUGUGGGAAUUUCCUGUGUACAAAAGACUUUAAUGUCUUCGUUCCAAGAAUUUGCUGGCACUUUGUAAUUUGUUGACUUCACAUUAUAUUAUACUAACGCGUUGAAAUGCCCGUGUGUUGCUGCGGUUUUAUAAAAUAAAAAUACUUGAUAGUGUUAUAAUUGUAAAUCACCACUAAAUAAAUAAUAAAAACUAAAGGUAUAAUAAAAUAAAUAUUUCAUGACGGAAAAAAAAGUUGUGUUGGUGAUCAAAAAUUUAGAGACUGAAUAAAAUGAUUUGCAACAAUCUACAGUGUUUUGUGAGAAAAGAUAUAAUGUUUUUGUCACAUGAUUUAGCUUUUAUGUUAAUAAAAAAGUAGAAAAAAAAUGCAAAGCUAAAUUCUCUACCAACUUAAUAUAUAUAAAAAAACCUUACAAAGAUAAUUUUAUAAGGAAAAAAACCCAUGAAAAAAAACAUUGUAGCAAUUGACAAUGUUUUGUACUAAUAUAUCAAAAACAAUGUUUUCCCAAUAAAAUAAAAUAAAAAACCAUUUAGAGAAAUAUUGUAGCAAUCCACAAUGUUUUGUGAGAAAAACUAUAACAUUUCCUCAUAUGAUUUAGCUUUAUUGUAAUUAUAAUUCUUAACCAACUCAAUAUUAAAAAAAAUCAACAAAGAUAAUUUUGGAAAAAAAUCAUAAAAAAAUCAUAUGGGAAAACACUGCAACAAUUCACGUGUUUUAAAGAAAAAAAUUACAAAACUAAAUUCUUAAUUAGCUCAAUAUUAAAAAAAAACGACAGGACAAUCUUAGAAAAAAAUAACAAAAAAAACACCAAAAAAGAGGGAAAAAUCAUGUUGGAAACAUUGUAGCAAUUCACAAUGUUUUUGAUGAAAGCUACAGUGCUUUCCCCACAUGAUUUAGUUAUUUUAUAUAAUUGUAAUUUUAAAACAACUUAAUAUUAAAAAAAUAAAAUUGACAAAGAUAAUCUGAAAAAAUUAUAAGAAAAAAAAACCAUGUGAAGAACACUGUAGCAAUCACAAUGUUUUGUGAGGAAAGAUACAGUGCUUUCCCCACAUGAUUAAGCUUUAUUACAAAGUUAAAUUCUAACCAACUCAAUAUGAAGAAAAAAAUUAACGAAGAUAAUUUUGGAAAAAAUAUUACAAAAAAAGAAAAUACAAAAAAAUUUGGAAAAAAAACCACGCGAGGAAAAACUGUAUCAAUCCAUAAUGUUUUGUGAUGGAAAACUUGUAUUUACUUGUAAUUGCAAUUCUUAACCAGCUUAAUAUUUAAAAAAUAAAAUUAAAAAAGAUAAUUUUAGAGAAAAACAUAACAAAGCAGAAAAAAAACUAUGUGGAAAAAAACAUUAUAGCAUCCACAAUAAUUUGUGAAGAAAGUUACAGUGAUUUCCUCACAUAUUAUAACUGUAAUUUUUAACCAGCUUAAUAUUAAAAAAUAAAAUAAAAAAGAUAAUUUUAGAGAAAAUAAAAAAAAACCAUGUGGAGAAAUAAUGUAGCAAUCAACAAUGUUUUAAAGAAAAAAAUUACAAAACUAAAUUCUUAAUUAGUUCAAUAUUAAAAAAAAUCGACAAAUAUAAUUUUAAAAAAUAAAAAAAUAAAAUAGAAAAACUAUAUAAAAAAAAUACCGUAGCAAUUCACAAUAUUAUUUUAAAGAAAAAAAUUUCAAAGUAAAAUUUUUAAUCAAUUCAAUAUUUAAAAAGUAAAAUUAAUUCAAAAUUACACACAAUCUAUUCAAAUAAAUCCUUAGAUGCCUUUUCCUUUUAUAUAUAUUUAUUUAUUGUGAAGAAGAAGAAGAAAAAGAAGUCGUCUUGAAGGAUGAAGGAGAGAGGAAGGGACGGGGGAUUGGCCAAUCCUCUUCUUCAUAUUGACGGGGACGACGACUUGACCGUAAGUACUCUUCCUGGCGAGUGCUAGGGCAGCGUGUUCCGGAAGCUGAGUUUAGAAAUUACGUGUUUCUUUUUAUAUGCUUCCUUCCAGCUCAUUACACACAAUCUAUUCAAAUAAAUCGGCAGAUGCCUUUUCCUUUUUCCUUUUAAAGGGAUCACCGGCCGUCGGUGUUGUUUGAACAUAAACAAUUGAACAUUGGAAGAAAUAAAUAAUUUCCCCAUGCUUAAAUUACGGCUACUAUUCUUUUCAACUCCUGCCAGACAUCAUAGGGCUUUAAUGUCUUCGAUCCAAGUGUUUGUUGGUACUGUAUACUUUGUUGACUUCACAUUAUAUUAUAAUGGUUAUGAUGAUUUCAUUGGGAAAAACUUGUUACUCUGCCCAAUAAUAGGAAUUUUUUAAAAAACAAAUUGAUACAGUUAGAGAAAUAUAUAAUAUGGUUUAAUUUUUUUUUUAAAAAAAACUGCUAUUUUAAAUUACGAUUUAAAUAUAAAAGCGAUUCAAAUAACAAUCGUGGUUCUGUUUAUUGGCAUGCAGCCAUGUAUAUUAUAAUUACUUCUUCUUUUUACAUGCUUCCUUUUUCUUUAUAUAUAUAUAUGCUGUUUGUCUUUUUGGUAUAAAUAGUGUUUUUAUAAAUUUUUUAUUGAUUUUUUUAAUAUUUUUAUGUAUUAAUAUCAAAAAUAAUUUUUUUAAAAUAAAAAAUAUUAUAUAAAUUUUUUAAUAGAAAAAACAAGAACUACCUACUACACUUACAGAAGAAACAUUCCAUGUAUUCAGUCGUUUGCGCGUGUCGAGGACCUUUUUUUGCCUCCCAAUAAUUAGUGUUAUUUGUAUUGUAACUUUUUUAAUAUUUCAAAAGGAUUAGCUAUUCCCUUGGCUUGGCGUAUUAGCAGCUUUUGUUAUUUUCUCUUCAACUUUUUUAUUAUAUAUUUUCUUUACACAGUAAACACUUAUAUCCCGGGUCAUUCCUUAAGUACAUUAACUAGUGUAUCGGCAUGCGAUUCACAACAGGGUUAAUAUUAAUCUUUUUAAAAUUAAAAUAACAAUCAUGUCAGCCUAAGCAUUUUGCAUCUAGAAUAGUAAAAAGUCUAGAAUAAUAUAUAUAUAUAUAUAUAUAUAUAUAUAUUAAAGAACUCUAAAAGGCGGGGAAGUACUGUAGCUUUCCACGCCUUUUAAUUACACUUAUAUAUAAUAAUAAUAAUAAUUAUAUUAUUAUUAAGUAAUAUACUAAAACGCGUAGCUUUUUCAAUGUAGCUAAAGCUUUUAUUUUUUGUUUUUUCUUCUGUGGUAUUUUUUUUUUGUAGCAGUUUUUUUUUAAUAUGUGGGUUUUUCACUGUAGCAGCUUUGUUUUUUUUUUUCUCGCUUUUGUUUCUUCUGUUUUUUACAUAUAAUUAAGUAAUAUACUAAAAUGCGUAGCUUUUUCACUAUAUCUAAAGCUGUUUUUUUUUUUUGCAGUUUUUUUUUUCUUCUGUGGCAUUUUUUUUUCAUUUUUGGUUUUUUUUUCUGUAGCAGUUUUGUUUUUUUUUUGCUUUUGCUUUUGUUUUUUUUAAAAUGUUUUUUCACUGUAGCAGUAAUUUUUUUUUUAUUUUUUUUUCACAUGUGGGUUUUUCAUUGUAGCAGCUUUGUUUUUUUUGUUUUUUACCUAUAAUGUAUCACUAUGUACACAGUGAAACACUUGACUUUCUUUGUUUUUUUUUUGUCGUUUUGCCCAUGGGUUUUUUUUUUUUGCUUUUUUCUUUGUUUUUUUUCUUUUAAUGAAUUCUUUUUUGUUUAAUUUAGUUUGUUAAUGUAAAAAAAAUUUAAUUUAGUUAUCAUAUUUUCAUUACACGGAUCUUCGUUUUUAUAUAUAUAUAUUAAGCUGGUUGAGAACUUAGCUUUGUAGCUUUUUUUAAAAAAAAAAUACUAUGGAUUACUACAGUGUUUCCCUUACAUGAUUUUUGUUUGACUGUAGUGUUUCCCCCACAUGUUUAUUUUUUAAAUUAUCUUUGUUAAAUUUAUUUUUUUUAUAUUGAGUUGGUUUAGAAUUUAGCUUUAGUUUUAGCUUUCCCCAUGCUUUUUAAUUAUAAUUAUUAUUAUAUUGUAUUAUAUUAUAUGACUGUUUUUUUCUUUUUAAUUUUUUUUAAUGAACUGUUUAUGUUUGAUUUAAUUUGUUAAUGUUAAAUUUUUUUUUAUUUAGUUAUCAUAUUUUCAUGAUACGAAUCUCGAGUUUGAUGGGUUAACCUGAUUUAACAAGUUAUUUUUUUUAUUUAGUUUAGUUUGUUAAAGUUAAUUUUCUUUCUAUUUAAUUAUCAGACUUUCAUGACACGUAUUAUGGGCUUGACAGGUUAACUUGGUUUGAUGGGUUAACCCGGUUAAUUCUAGGUAAACCCGUUAUUUUUUUUUUCUAUUUAGUUAUCAAAUUUUCAUGAUGCAAAUCUCAGGUUUUACGGGAUAACCUGGUUUAAAGGAUUAACCCAAUUAAUUCAAUUUUUUUUUCUUUUUCUUCAUUAGUUUUUUCCUUUCUGUUGAUUUUUUUCUUUGUUUUUUUUAAUUAAUCUAUUUAAUUAUCACACUUUUAUGACACGAUCUUAUAGCCAGACCCACAUCCACUAUUCUUGGAUCCGGUGUUACAGUCAGACUCACUUAAACUUGGGUCAUACAAGUUUAAUUUUAUUAUUAAUAUUAUAAAUAUUAUUCUUAGGUCAGGCGUUGCAGCCAAACCCAAGAUUUUUGGGUAUAACUUUAUAGAAAAACCCAAAAUUUUAAAUUUUUAUUUUUUAAAAAUAUUUUUUAUACAAAAAAAUGACUCGCAGCAGCGCGCGGGUAUCAAAGCUAGUAUAUAUAUAUAUAUAUAUAUGCUGUGAGGAAGAAGAAGUCUUGAAGGAGAGAGGAAGGGACGGGGGAUGGGGCCAAUCCUCUUCUUGAUGCUCGGGCAAUAAUAACCAUGUUGAUGGGGACGAAGACGACUUGACCUUUAGUCUUCCCGGCGAGUGCUUGGGCAGCGUGUUCGGGAAUCUGAGCUGCCUUGACAUUACGUGUUUUCUGGAAAUUACGUUUUUCUUGUCUUAACGGUGGCUUUAGAUAAUGUUCGUUCUUGAUAUUUAUAGGAGAUAAAUCAAAUUUUAAACGUUUUGAAGCACUUAGGAAUGAUUUAAAUAUUCUUAAAAGUAAAAUUUUAAAACUAAGGAUUCAUGGGUGCUUCUAUUUUUUAAUAUUUUCAUAGCAUAGUAAAAUGACUAUAUUAUUUUUAAAAAUAAAAAAAAUUUUAAAUUUUAAAUUCAAGUAUUUUCUCGGGAUAUUAUAAAAAAUAUUAUUUUAAUGUAUUUUUAAUUAAAAAAUAAUUACAAUAUUUUUACUAUCACAUCAUAUUAUAAUGGUGAUGAUGAUUUGAUUGAGAAGAAUUUAACUUGUUAGAGAACCUGUUUAAUAUUAUGGUAACAAUUGUUUUUUAAAGUGUUUCUUUUAGAAAUAUAUUAUAUUAAAAUAAUAUUUUUUAUUUUUAAAAUUUUAUUUUUAAUAUCAACACAUCACAAUAAUAUAAAACUAAAUAUAUAAUAAUUUAAAAUAUAAAAAAAAUAAAAAAACUCAAAUCCAAAUAUUUUCUUAGUACAUUACAGAUGGUUCACAUUAUUGACUUCCUAGAAAUUUUCAUUAACCACAAAAGGCUUGUUAUUAUUAUUAUUAUUUUGUAAUUUGGCAGGGAAAAAAAAGAGUGAAGAAUCUGUUUAUGGCAAGACUUUGAACAGCAAGUCUUCCAUCCAAGUGCUUGCGCGUAAAAGGGGAAAAAAAAAAGUGUUUGCGCGUAAACUUUGUUGCCUUUCACAUUAUAUUAUAAUUUAGUAGGGAAGGGCAUGAUUAUUAUGAGCUAGUUUAUUCAAUGCACUCUUCGAUGCUUUUAUCAUAAAGAGAGGAACCCAAAACUUUAAGAGCCAACGGAUUACUUUGUACAUGCCUUACAAUCUGUGCUAUCAACUGUCUUUGAUCAAUUGUGGGGAUUCAAUUCUUCAAGGCUUUUGAGCUAAAGAGUUGAAGAGCUUCUUCAUCAUUCAACCCCUCAACCUCAUAUGUGAUAUAUUAUCAUGGUCAAUUUGUCAUAUUAAAUGAGAACAAAUUAGUUUUAAAACAUUUCAAAAACGAAGUAAAAUAGUUUAAAUAUCCUUAAAAGUAAAAUUUUUAAAACUAGGAUCCAUGGGUAUUUUAGUCUUUUAAUGUUUUGAUAGUACAAUGAAAUUACUAUAUUGUUCUUAAAAGCAAAUAAAUUAAAAUUGAUAUUUAGGGUUUUUUUUUUUGUAUCUUCACCAUGGCUUUUUAGUUAUAAUCAAUGUAAAUUAGGGGCAAUGUAGUUAUAAAUAUGAUUCAAAAAAUAAAAAAUGGUUAAGGUGUGCGUUUGGGAAGCGUCUAUACUUUUUAGACAGCGCGCGCAACAUUUCUCAGUGGGCAAACACUACCUUUUGUGACAACAUUGAAAGCAUCACAACAUCCUCUUUCUAAUGGUCAGGGAUGUAUGCAUAGUAGCGUAGUGAUUGGGCUACAAUACAUUUUUUUUAUUUUCCUCCCUCUUUUCUCUCUCCUAGCCUCGAGUUUCAUGUCAUCACUUUUAAAAAUUAAAUGUGUUAUGUUCAAUUUGUAUUUGUAUUCAUUUUGUUCUCAUUAUUUUAAUCAUUACUUGUUUUGUUUUUAAUGCUUUUUUAAAGUUGAUAUUUUUUCAAUUUUAUCUUUUGACAUUUUAUUUUAUUUAGUUUUUUUAUUCAAUUUGGUUCUCGUUCUUUUAAUUGCUAUUUUUUUUUUAUCAUUUUUCUUGAUAUAUUUUUUUUAUUUCAUCCAUUGUAAUUUUAUUCACUUGGCGGAGUAGCUGAUCUUUUGUUAUUUUCUCUUUAACUUUUUUAUUAUAUAUUUUUUUAAAACACUAAACACUUCUGUCCCACGUCAUUCUUUAGUCUAUUAAUUUUUACUUCAAAUUCUUUUAUAAUUUUCCUAGAAAUUACGAAUUUCUUUUCAAAAUGUGUCAGAACACAUUUUUGAAAUAUACUGUUUUUUUUUUAAAAAAUUAAUAUUUUUAUAUUUUUAAAUUGUUUUGAUAUAUUAAAAUUAAAAAUAACUUUUUAAAACAUAAAAAUAAUAUUUUAAUACAUUUUAAUUUCCCGUAGCAGCCCCAUGGAGCUGCCAUGCACAUGGAAGGAAAGGCGAUUUUAUCUUUGCCUAUAAACAAUGUUUUUAUAAAUUUUCAUUUUUUUGAUUUUUUAUUUUAAGAUUAAAUCGUUUUAGUUUUUUUCAGUUUGUUUUAAUAUGUUUGUGUUAAAAAUAAUUCUUUAAAAAUAAAAAAUAUAUUAUUUUAAUGUAUUUUUAAAUGAAAAACACUUUAAAAAAUAAUUGUUACCAUACUCGUAAACACCUUCUAUAUCUUCAGUCCAAGUAUUUGUCUUGCGGAGGACGCUUUUGCCUUCGUAUUAUAUUAUAAUGGUUAUUAUGAUUUAAUUGAAAAGAACUUGUUAGAGAACCUGUUCAAUAUUGUACUAGUGGUUAUUUUUCAAUUUUUUUUAUUAGAAAUACAUUAAAAUAAUAUUUUUUUUAUUUUUUAAAAUUUAUUUUUGAUAUUAAAAAGUCAAAAUAAUAUAAUUAAAACAUAAAAAAAAUUAAUUUAAAGUAAAAAAAAAUUCAAAUUCAAGUAUUUUCUCAGGGCAUUACAGAAGGUGCCCAUUGUUAGCUUCCUGGAAAUUUUCCAUGCACAAAAAGCUUCAAGUCUUGUUAUUUGUGAUGCCGUAGGAAAAGACAUUUAGGUUUUUGUUUGUCUUUGCUAUGUAAACAAUGUUUUAAUAAAUUUUGAAAUUAUUUUAGAUCAAUUUUUUUAUUAUUUUUUUUGGUUUGUUUUGAUAUAUUUGUGUCAAAAAUAAUUUUUUAAAAAUAAAAAAAUACAUAUAUUAUCUUGAUGUAUUUUCAUGCAAAAAAACAUUUUAAAAAUCAACUGUUAUUAUACUCACAAACACCCUUUAUAUCUUCAAUCCAAGUGUUUGCACAUGUUUGCAUUAACGUUAUAUUACCACACUUGCUUUGAUAGAUUUGUGGUAUUGUGAUAACAGUUGUUUUUCAAAUUAAUUUUUACUUGAAAAUAAAUUAAAAUAAUAUAUUUUUUUAUGUUUUAAAUUUUAUUUUUUAUUCAGUCCAUUGUAAUGAUAUAAAAAUUAAUUUAAAAUAAAAAAAAUCAAAUCCAUGUAUUUUCUUGGACGUUACAGAGGGUGCACAUCUACGUGGUAAUUUCCUGUGUAUAAAAAGGCUUAAUGUCUUGUUAUUUGUUUUUUCUUUUUGUGAUUUGGUAGGAAGGGCAUCGAGUCUUCCUUAAGUCAUCUGCCGAUGAUAGAUUGUGUGUAAUGAGCUGGAAGGAAUCAUGUAAAAAGAAGAAAUAAUUAUAAGCCAUAUUGAUGGGGACGACGACUUGAUCUCAAGUCUUGCUUUAAAUUACGUGUUUCCUUUUUCCAAAUAUUUUCUCAUGUACAGAGGUGUUCACUUCCCGGAAAUUUCCCAUGUACAAGUCUUGUUCUUUGUUUAUUUGUGAUUUGGCAGCAAUGAUCUACACGCAACGCAAGUGUGUGUUUUUUGUUUAUUUUUUUUUUUUUUAUCUGCAUCGGUUAAAAACCAGACCAGCAAUUAGCCCAGCAAACCCGUUUGACCUACAAGGUCAACUCCUGGAUUUGAUUUAAUAAUUAUAUAGGAUACAUUCCUAUUAAGACUAAGCUACUUUGUUAGGCUUGAAACAAUUGAACUCUUAGAGCAAUUGUUUUGUCUCUUUUUACAUGCUUCAAAAUGCUAUUUUAUCAUUUAAGAUCAUUGCUUUGUCCAUGAAAAGGGUUUAGACAACUUGCUAUGUCUUCUAAUUAAAAUUUUUAAAACUAGGAUUGAUGGGUGUUUCAGUCUUUUAAUUUUUAAUAGUAUAACUACAUUGUUCUUAAAAGAAAAAUAAAAUAAAAUUGAUAUUUAGGGGUUUUUUUAUAUUUUUUUCAAGGCUUUUUAGUUAUAAUCAAUGUGAAUUAGAGGCAAUUAGUCUUUUAAAAAUAAAAAUAUAAUUAAAAAAUAAAAAUUAAUUGAUGUGUGUUUGGAUGACGUCCAUGCUUAUGCAACGCAUGUAACAUCUUCAACAGGCAAACACUCCUUUUGUGACAGAGCUGAAAGUGUCACAACAUCAUCUAAUUGCUAAUGACACAACAAUCAGCAAUAAAUAUUUUCUCAAGUACAAGGACAUGCAGGAACAACAAUCAGCAGAUGUUCUAGAUUCUCACACAUUUGAAAUGUUAAUCUGUACAACAGGGAAUGAUAAUCUCAAAGCAUUGUUUUUAACAGGUGGUUGGACAUAAGCAUAAAGAAUAAAUAUAAUGAACACAAUAAUGAAUUAAGAUAAUUUUAAACUUCAAUUCACUCAACAACCUGGAAAGGAAAUUUAGCUCCGAACCCAGUCAGUUGAGAGAAGAAACAUAAAAGCAGCAGAGAUGGUAACUUUUACAGGGUAAUUGACUUCUCUAGAUUCGAGGUCUCACCAGCUGGUCCCUUUUUCUGCCCAUAACAACCAUCGGGUGGCGAUAUUAAACCAGCUCUCAUAAGAAUGCACGCACAGUGUCUGUAGGCUGAGCACCGAACAGAACCAACACCUGCAAAGCAAGUAGAAGAAUAACCAAAAUCAACUAAACAAGAUGAAAGACAUUGCGCCAACCCAUUUAAUCAAGCAGCAAAUAGAAGCAGCCAUACAAGAGCUUCAUGCAAACUAAAGAUUGAUCCAUCAGUUUUCUCCUCCUUUAAUUCAAAAUUGGCAAAAACUGAACAGAUAACUCUCUCAUUGUGAAGUUAUCUCCUGCCUAAAAUAGAUGUUUAGCAAUUAAGAAUCAAAAGCUAAACAUGUUUAUCUUGCUAAACCUCCAGCAUUACCCACGACACCUUAAACUCCAAUCUCCAGGUUAAACUUAGAUACUAGGAUAAAUUUUUAUUACCCCAAAUACCAGAAACACAUAUACAACAAAAACAAGAAGUGAAAGCAUAUAGCUCAUAGAUAAUACAGCAUAAAUUGAACGUGAUAAGAAAAAGAGAAAAACUUACUUCACAAGGUCAACAUUAAGACCCAAUCUUCUAGCAUCGCCCUUGGCUGCCAAAAAGAAAAGCAAAAAUGUAAAAAUAAUUAAGCAACUUCCCCUAACAUCAAAGCUAAAAAUUAAGCAUGAUUAGUGCUUUAGUGACGAAAGGGAUCGUACUUUGUUUCGUUUUGAGACUUUAACUGAUGACAGAAUAAACUAUGAACAAUCAGUGCUAUCAAUGGUAAUAUUAAACUACAUUUGCAUAAGAAAAUAAAAUUACAAAUGCAUCCUAUUUUGCAAAUGCAUUUCCCCACGAAGUUUAGGCCUUUGGCAUUGCGGUCUAAAAGCGUUUUUUAAAAAAUUUGAAUUUUUUUUUUGCUUUAAAGUAAUAUGUGUUUGAUAUUUUCAAAUCAUUUUGAUGUGCUGAUCUCAAAAAUAACUUUUUAAAAAUAAAAUAAUAUUAUUGACAUGUUUUUCUGAAUGAAAAACACUUUGAAAAGCAACCUCAACCACACUCCCAAACACCUUAAUCCCAUUUUGCAAAUGCAUUUCCCCACGAAGUUUAAGUCUUUAAUAACAAAGUUAUCUACACAUACAAUGCAAUGCGAACUUGAAAACAAACCCUAUAAGCCUUCAAAGUGCAGGCCUUUGAAAUUAGAAAAAAAAAAAAUCUCCAUGUGAACUGAGCAUGUGAAAAUAAUAUGAGAAGGGUAAGAAAAAGAAGAGGGAACCUGCUAAGGGGUCGUAGAAACCAACAACUCGAAGGUGUUUGCCAUCUCUUGGAGUAUGGCUAUUAGCAACAACAAUUCUGUAAAAUGCCCUGUUUAUGCAUCCCAGCCUAGUUAAACGAAUCUUCACCGCCAUUUUCUUGGGCUGAUCUUCUUCAAGUGAGAAAUGUGAGAGUGAAUUGCAGAGGGAGGGAGGGACGGGUUUUUAUUAUGGAUAAGGAGGAUUGGGAUGCGGAUAUGGGCUUUUGUACUUCUUUCUUGUCAAAACUAUGCAGUUUUACCACAUUGGGCCUAAUUGAUCCCUCUGUUUUUUUUUUUUUUUUUAAAUUGUCCCUUUUGCAAUUGUUCGUUUUCGUGCAAAUCAAGAAAAAAUAUACUAGAUGUGACUGUACAUCUGUAGUAUUUAUUUAUUUCUUUUUUCAGACUGGCAGAAACUAAUGAACACUUCCUAUUGUUGUUUUCUUCGGUGUCCAUCGAAUUUUUUUCAAAGAAUAACAUGUUCAGGGGAUGAAGAAGAACCUCAUCCUCAUUCCUUCUGCAAUUACCACGAAGACAUCUUUCAGUGAUCACCUACGUCUCUCACUUUUGGGGAUUGAUAACAGCCUUUUCAGCAUUAGCUGCACGGUAACCAAUGACUAUCUCUCUUCUCUGUCGGGCGCGUAAUAAUACUUCAUAGAAACUCAAUUCCUCGCUUUCACUGAGGUAAAGAUCUGCUUGCCUUAUUUGUAGCUCAUUUCCCUGAUGAAGGCAAAAUGUUUGUGAAUGAUGAGUUAACUGAUUAAAGGAUCUUAAAUUCCAACAUCAUCAAUAGCAACAAUUUCACUAACACAACAAAGGAAUCACUCUGAUCAAUGCUCGAGGGUUGUUCUAAGCAGUAAAAGAGAGAACAUGCCAGCAAACCCUUUGCUGUUGUGGUCCAACAUAUUAACCAGCUUAAUUUAUCACAACCAUAAUGAUUAUUUGGAUGCUACUUUCUCAAUAUAAGAAGCAGGGCAUCUAAAUACACCAGGGAACGAAGCUAAUGAUAUACGAAGCAGUCAUUAUAAUAUAUGAUUUGAAGGAGUGGCCAACUAAAUAAACCAGGGAACGAAGCUAAUGAUCACCUGAUGUGUUUUAAGAUUUCAUCCUUUAGUUUAGCUAGCAAAGUUUCAUGGGCUCUAUAGUAUACGUGAUUGUUAAAAGUGCUUUCAAUAUCUUCCCUCCCUCAAGCAAGAGUUGGGCAAAAAACGGAUUUAAUGUGAUUGUUGGAAUUUUCUAUUGCAAUUUUGUAAGCCUACUGAGUUUGAAGGAAUGUAGGGAGAAACAAGAAAAACAUUGCCAUUGUUUUGAGGAGAAACGGUUGAAGAAAACAUUUUGUUUGGCAGUCUGGUUGUGGUUGUAUUUAUUUUUUAAAUAAUUUUUCGUGUCAAAAUGUAUGUCAAUGAUGUUUUUUUAUUUUUAAAAAAUUAUUUUUAAUAUCAGCACAUCAAAAUAAUUUGAAAACAUUAAAAACAUAUUAAUUUAAAGUUAAUAAAAAAUAAAAAAAUUUUAAAUUUUUUUAAAAUAUAAAAAUAAAGAGGCAGGGGUAAAUAUGCAGGGAGAGAAGGGAAGUAACUCAACGAAAAAAGAUGAGGCUGAUUUUGAAUCAGUAGCUUAGACUUUAUGUAUAAUUGUAAUAAUGGUUGUUUCAAAUCCAAGUAUUUUCACAUGUACUGAGAUGUUGAUUUCCUGGGAUUGUGAUAAUUAUGAUGGUUUAAAGUAUUUUUUGUUUAAAAAAAUAUUAAAAUAAAAAAAAUUUUAUUUUAAAAAAAUUAUUUUUAAUAUUAGUACAUUAAAACUAUCUAAAAACAUAAAAAAAAAUUAUUUUAAACAAAAAAAAUAAUCAACUUUUAAAAAAAUAAUUUCCACCGCAUUUCCCAUCACAUUCAACAUUCACUUUAUCGGCGAAGUAAACGUGCGAACUGAAACACCCUAAUUUUCAACUGGAAAUGAAAAAUAUUAAAUCAAUUAGGAGGGGCAAGAACAAAAAGGAAGGUUGAGGUACUCUAGGCGUUCCUUACGAUUUUUAAAAGUAGAAAAAUAUUUUAAAAUAAUUUUUUUAACUUGAUUGUUUAUUAUAUAUAUAUAGUCCAUUCAUAUAAAUUGUUUUUAAAAUUUUUUAUAUAAAAUAUUAAAAUUUAGAUAAUUUUUUUAACUUUUUUUAGAUUAACUUAACCAAUAUAAUCCAAAACAUUGCCUUAAUUUUGACCAAAUCAACCUUAGAUUUGGUUUCAAAUCCAAAUAUUUUCUCAUGUACAUAGGGUGCACAUUGUUUGAGCAGCACAUGCAAUAUUUAUCAGCGGACAAACACUGCUUUUUAUGACGGUGUUGGAAGCAUUACAACAUCCUUUUUCAAGUGGUCAGGUAUAUAUGCAUGGCUUUUUUUUUGUUUCCUCCCUCUUCUCUUUUUCCUAGCCUCAAGUUUCAUGUUGGCUCUUUCAAAAAUUAAAUGUGUCAUGUUCAAUUUGUAUUUAUAUCAACUUUGUUCUUAUUAUUUUUAAUUACUAUUUGUUUUGCUUGAAAUGCAUUUUAAAGUUGAUUUUUUCUUUAAUUUUUUCUUUUAACAUUUUAUUUCUCCUAGUCUUUCAAACAAUAAAGUUAGGUUGUCUUUAUGGUAUAAACAAUGUUUUUAUAAAUUUUUAUUUUUUUAGUUUUUUUUGUGUGUUUUGAUGUGUUGUUGUAAACAAAUAUUUCUUUAAAAAUAAAAAGAUAUUAUAUUAAUGUAUUUUUAAUAAAAAAACACUUUAAAAAAUAAUUAUUAAUUUUUUUAACGUUAUAUUAUAAUGAUUAUGAUGAUUUGAUCGAGAAGAACUUGUUAGACAACUAAUUUGGUAUUGUAGUUAUAGUUAUUUUUUAAAGUAUUUUUUAUUUAAAAAUCUAUUAAAAUAAUAUAUUUUUUUAUUUUUUUAUAUUAAUUUUUAUAUUAUAACAUCAAAAUAUUUUCUCAUGUGCAUAGGUUGCACAUUGUUGACUCCUGCGAAUUUAAUAUGUACAAAAAGCUUCAGGUUAUUUUUUUUUUGUAAUUUGGUAAGGAAAGGCAUCAAGUCUUCAAUCCAAGUGUUUGAGCGUACAGAGAACUUUGUUGAGUUUCACAUUAUAUUGUAAUAGGAAUUUUGUUUUAAAAACCUGCUAUUUUAAAUCAUGAUAUUAAUAUAACCAUGAUUUUGCAGAAUCACAAUCUAUCCAAAUAAUUUGGCAAUGCCUUUUCUUUUUAUAUAUAUACAAGCAUAUUGGUAUACACUCCGCAACAACAAAUCAAUAGCAAUUGUUUUUAAAAUAUAAAAAAUAUAAAGAAUAAAGAGAAUAUAUUAAAUGUCUUGGGUCUGAUAACAACCCAACUCUAUGUGGUCCUGAUGGCAGUAAAUCCCAACACUAUUAGAUCAUAACAAAGAUAGGGUUUGACCUUAUUGGAUCCUGCCUUACAGCAUGGGCCAAAAGUAUUGAGUCUUGAUAGGCAGCAGAAUCCAACGCUAGCAGAAAAAUAUUCAACUAACCCAAUCUCAAAUGAAAAAAUAUAUAUAUAUAAUCACCCAACUUUUGAACGAUAUACAAAAAGUCUCAUCAAUUUAUUUUAAUUUUAUCAUAUGAAAAAAAAAUUACAUAAGUAAAAAGAAAAACAAUCUAAAAAGCCAAAAAAAUAAAAUUGGAUAUAUCUAGGUUUGGCUAUGAACUAGAUCCCAUAACUAUAUAUGUUGUAUAUAAUUAAGUUUAAAGGAUUAUUUUUGAAAGAUUUUUAUAUCACAUUAGAAAGAAACUAUCUUAUUCUUAUAAGUCGAACAUAUAAGUCUCUUAUUGUGAAGUUAUUUCCUGCCUAAAAUAGAUGUUUAGCAAUUAAGAAUCAAAAGCUAAACAUGUUUAUCUUGCUAAACCUGCAGCAUGACCCCCGACACCUUAAACAAGAAGUGAUCAUCUCAUAGCAUUGUCUUUAUCAGGUGGUUGGACAUAAGCAUAAAAAAACAAAUAUAAUGAACACAAUAAUGAACAAGAGAAUUUUAAACUUAAAUUCAUUCAGCAACUUGAAAGGAAAUUUAGCUCUCAACCCAUUCAAUUGAGAGAAGAAACAUAAAAGCACCAGAGAUGGUAACUAUUACCAGGGUAAUUGAUAUAUAUCAGGAGAUCAAAAUAAUUUUAAAAAAAAACAAAAAAUAAUUUAAAAUUAAAAAAAAUUCAAAUCCAAGUAUUUUCUCACAACAUUAUAGAGGGUGCACAUUGCUGACUUUCAUAAAUUCUUAUGUACAAAAGGCUCAAGGUCUUUUUAUUUGUGAUGUGGUAGGAAAGAGCAUUUAGUAGCUGUUUGUCUUUAAGACAUAAACAAUGUUUUUAUAAAUUUUGAUAUUUUGAUUUUUUUUAGAUUAAUUUUAUUUAGUGUUUUCGGUUUGUUUUAAUGUGUUGAUACAAAAAGUAAUUUUUUAAAAUUAAAUAAAAUAAUAUAUUGAUAUAUUUUAAAUUGAAAAACAUUUUAAAAAGUAACUGUCAUGACACUCAUAAACAUCUUCCAUAUCUUGACUCCAAGUGUGUGUGUGCCGAUGACAGUUUUGCUUUCAUAAUAUAUUAUAAUGAUUAUGAUGAUUUAAUUGAGAAGAACUUGUUUGAGAACCUAUUUUGUAUUGUGUCAACAUUUAUUUUUUAAAGUUUUUUUUACAUGAAAAUAUAUCAAAAUAAUAAUUUUUUUAUUACUUUUUAAAAUUUAAUUUUGAUAUUACCACAUCAAAAUAAUAUAAAAAUAACAAAAUUAAUUAAAAAUAAUUCCUAAAAAUAUUCCAUGUACAAAAUGCUUCAUAUCCUGUUAUAUGUAUUUUUGUUUUGUUUUUUUUAUUUGGUAGGGAAGGACAUCAAGUCUUGGAUCCAAGUGUUUGCUCGUACUGAGGACUUUGUUGACUUCACAUUAUAUUAUAAUGGUUAUUAUUAUUUCAUAUGGAAGAACUUGUUGUGCAUAGCUUUCGAACCUGUAUAAAGUGUUGCGUGGAUAUCGCCGGCGAGAAGGAAAAGAUUAGCCAGCGGAGACAGAGGAGAUAAAGUUGUUGAUCUCUUGAGCUCGUCAAAUGCCAUGUCAAAUCUCUUCCAAGGUUUAUCUGGACAUUGAUGAUUCCAGGUUGUAGUUCUAGUGUUGUGAUCAAUAUAAUACGUUUUCCCUGAUGCUGCAUCAGAUCGCCUCUCCCAGCCUGGUGGCAAUGGAGCACUAUAUCCACCAUAGUUAUUGACUGACUGAUAACAGUAAGCCAAUUCACUAUCAAGUGAUUGGCCAACCUCCUGCAUUGCUCCAUUUUGAUGUGAUCGUAUGCAGAAAGCACCAGCAAAAUCAUCGCUGUAGAUGAUUUCACCCCUGCAAUCCUAUUCUUUAAAUCAUAAAAACAUGACACGCUAUGAAAAUAAAAUAAAAUAAAUUAAAAAUUUUAUCCUUUUAAUUUGAUUAAGAAAGUCAUCCUACAACUAUUUUACAUUUAUUUAAAGCAAGUUACAAGACAUGCAUAAACUCUUUUGUAAAAUUGCAGGUCUCCAUUCGGCCAGGCCAGCACUAAAGGAUGGUGAGAAUUGAGAAGAGUCGCAGCAACUCAGACAACAAAUAGAAAAUUACAAAGAAUUGAAGGGGUUAUGGCUAACUCCACAAGAAUAAAGAGCCACCGCAAGAAAAUAAUACUAUAAAAGAAUCAAAUUUAAAAAAUUGAUCCCUCACACGUAUAUUAAACUUGGCGGACUCUUGACGGAUUAAUUGGGGACUUCUUGACUCCAAAUGUAAUUUGGGUUAGAGUUUUUUUUUUUUUGUCAAAUCAACAUAUAUCAAUUCACUCACGAUAUGAUUAGCUUUAUCAAACCUAAAUGAGAUUCAAACGAGUUAAUUUUAAUAUUUUUUUUUAAUUAAUAGAAACAAUAAAACAUGUUACCAAAAUACUAUAGAGAAUACUAUGGAUAUAGACUAAAAAAACUAUUCAUUGGGACACUUUAGUUACAUUUUUCCCCUCCUAACAAAAAACCAAAAGCUUAUGAGUUAAGGGCAAUUCAAUCUCUUCGCAUUAGUCGUUAAUUAUUUAACUGGGAAACAUAUAUGUAACCAAAAGCUUAUGAGUUCAGGACAAUUUUUUUACUAGGACAUAAGUGAAUUAUUUUUUAUGCAUAAUAAAAUGAUUUUUUUAAGGGUAUUUAAGUUUUUUAAAAACAGUAAAAAAAACAUAUUUGCUCUUAAAAAUCAAGAAAAAAUCAAUCAUUAGUCUAGAGAUUUUUUUUGUUUGUUGACAUCAGUUUUUUUUGUAAAUUCCAAAACUAUAAAAGGCAAUUUGAUCAUGAUUAACUAAUUUUUAAAUAUUAAAAGUUAUGGACAUAUGUAGUUCACACGUCAUUGCAUGAGAGGUAUUUAUGCUCACGAUGUGCGUGUGCCUCAUGUGGUUAAAUCUGUCCUUUUGGUGAAGAUUAAUUGGUUUUGUUACUUUUUUCUUCUUUUGUGCUUUAUUUUACUGUUUUUCAUAUUUAUUUUUUUGUAUAUCAAAUAUUUUAAUUCUAUUUAGUUAUUUAUUUAUCAAAUAUUAAUUUAUUUAACUUCAUGUAUAUUUAAGCAUUUUAAUUUAUAAUUAGAAUUUUUUAUAUUAAAAAACUAAUAAAAAUUCUAUAUAUUUAAUUUUUUAUUAAAAAAAUUUAAUCCAUAACAAAUACUAGUUAAAUAUUUAAUUUGUUUUUUUAAAAUAAUAUUGUUUUAGUUUUAAAAAUAAAACUAAAAAUAAUUAGUUUUAAAAUUAACUUUGCAAUCGGCCAAUCAGCGAAUUGGGUUUUGAAUUCGAUCAAACAAACCUCAGGCCCAUAUGAAAUCUAUGAUUGGUACCCACAUGAAAAAAUGAGAGGCAGAGAGAAACAAAAAAGAUGAGGUAAUGGCAUCAACAAGCCACACGAUUAGAUUCUCUACCAUGAUAUAUAUACAUAUUAGCACAAGUCCAUUUCUAAAAAUUCAACAAAACCCUAAUCUCUGCUUAAUUUAUCGCUUUACACAGAAAAAAAAAUGAUAUUUCUAUCGUAACCAAAGCUUUUUAAGACUAAUAAAAUGAAAUCUAAAAACAGUUUUUUUUUUUUAAGAAGAAAUUAAAGAACACAUGUAAUGUAGUUGAAAGCUAGGGUUUUGAGAGUCACCAUUGUAGAAGCUUGAUCUGGGAGAGGGAGAGAGGGAGAAAGGGAGACGGCUGGUAGGGUUUGAGGGAGAGGUGUGAGAGAUAUAAUGGAACUUGUUAUAAACCCUAUUCCCUAUUGGCUCUUCAGAUGAACGGCUGAGAUUAUAUUUUUUAUAGCAGCAAGGGUUUUGUUGAUUUGUGACUGGAUGGCGUUUUUGUCAUUUCGCCACCAGUUUAAGCAUACAAAGCCCAAUUCGUUACUGAAGACCCAAAAUCCAUGGAGUCAAUAAAGAAACAAAAUUUCUUGGGUGAAAUAGAACAUUGGAAUCAUAGUUAUGGAGUCAAUAAAAGAUUUAAUUUUUUCUUUUAUUAAUAUAAGUAUUUGGAUUAAUUUACACCUAAACUAUUUUGUUUCUAAAUUUAUUUUUUCUUAACAUGGAAGACAUGAGGACAUCUCCCCUUUUUCCCUAACAUCUCCGUCACCUCAUAAGAUUAAUCACUGUAACCGAGAGCCUGUAGUUUCCACGUUAAGUGACUAUCAUGCUAUAAGCGUAGAUCGAGUGGAGAGAAAUGCAGACACAGGGUUAGCUAUGGCAACACAAGAGGGACAUUUCCAGGACUUCGUAUUGUAUCACUCUGCAGACAUUUUUAACUGCCAUCUAUUUUAACAGUAAGCUUCAGUUCUGUAGAAUUAAGACUGCCAUAUCCAAGAAGAAAUACACGGCUUAAAAAUCCGCCGGUCGGGACUUUGAGACCAUGUAUUGGCAGCCACAGGGUAGUUCCAUGCUUCAUGUUUGAGCUUCAUCUCCCGUGACGACUAGGAAUUUGUAGUGAACGAGGGAGGGGGGGAGGGGGAGGGGGAGGGGGGGAAAUUUAACAUGUCUAUGGAGGAUAGAGAUCCCAACCAAAUGGGGAAAAACUGAAAUCUACAGAAACGAAGAAUUGCUGUGUUCUUACAGAAUUUAUCAAGGCCUUUUGACAGCUUCACAGUUGCUCCAUUCAGAAGCCAACGCUUUUUAGAAUCCUAGUCUAUUUGGUAGGGGGAAAUUACCAGAGGAAGAUGUAAAACAACAGGGGUAGCAAAACGAAGGAAAAGUUCUUGGUCAAAAACAAUAACAGAGAAGAAGGGAAGCCAAAAAUCCAAUGGCCGCACUCUAUUUCCUCUCUCGCAGAGUAGAAAGAACAUGAAAAGAGAAGAAAAAAACGUAGAAGAGGAUUUUUCAACUUGAAAGAUAUUGUGUGAGUUUCAUAACUUGCAUAUCAUUUACUUGUGAUGCUAGGAAUAAGCAGAUAAUUACCCAUAUCAAGUCUUUUCUCUUGAAACUCAGAGGACUUGAUCCACCAUUGGAACUUGGACUCAUGAUAGGAACUGGCUUGAGAAGGAAACCAGAAGGCCGAGAAGGCACCAAACCAUGAAUUGGAUUUAAUACACAACUAAAUUGAGUACUUUAUGAGCUGAUUGAGAGAGAUCUUGGCACCAAACCAUGAAUCUGAUAUUUUCAUUCCAGAAAUGUUUCCAACACAAGUUUUGAGGUAACAUAGAAUGAUAAGACACAUGAGCACAUCCUAGUUAAAGAACAUGGAGUCAAUGGAAAGUAUAUGAACGAAAACAACAAGUGUCAGACAUGAUAAUGUUAUCAAAUUCGAAAUGCUUUGGGAUUUAAUUGCGAGGUGCUCUAAGCAAGGAUUAUGGAUAUAAAGGUGCACAACAGAAACUCCUUCCCUUCUAGAAAACAAGAUAAUGAGGAAUAGAGCUAGCCAACAAGUGACUUUAUGGUCCUAGUGAAACUGGUAUUGCUGCUUUGACAGGAGCAAAGAAUCUACAAAAGAAAACAUGGGUUGCGCGAAGGAAUCCCAGAAUAAAAAGCUGAUACAGAGAAUACAAACACAUACAUUUAGAGGUUGAACUGGAACUGAUGGAAGAUGCUGGAAAAGUCUCGUCCCAAGAAACAUUUCCAGCUGCUUCUGACGAGAGCUAUCUUUACAAGUACAUUUUUAUAUCUUCUCUGUAAAGUGAUUUGAAGAUUCUGAGCUACAGAAAACUGUUCAGAUUUUCCUGCUUCUUCAUUGAAUAUGUUUAGAAUUUGGCUAUGCAUAGCUUUUGAACCAGUAUAAAGUGCCAGCGGAGAUAGAGGAGAUAAAAUUGUUGAUCUCUUGAGCUCGUCAAAUGCCAUGUCAAAUCUCUUCCAAGGUUUAUCUGGACAUGGAUGAUUCCAGGUUAAAGUUCUAGUGUUGUGAUCAAUAUAAUACGUGUCGUUUUCCCUGUUGCUGCAUCAGAUCGUUUCUCCCAGCCUGGUGGCAAUGGAGCAGUAUAUCCACCACCAUAGUUAUUGACUGACUGAUAUAUAACAGUAAGCCAAAUCACACUAUCAAGUGAUAUGGCCAACCUCCUGCAUUGCUCCACAAAACAUUGCAGAACAUCAAAAUAACUAGAAACAUUCCAAGGAAUAUGCAAAAAUUAAAACGAUGACUCCAUUUUGAUGUGAUCUUAUGUAGAAAGCACCGGCAAAACCAUCGGUGUAGAAUUGAGAAGAGUCACAAGACUCACAACAACUCGGACAACAAAUAAAAAAUUACAAAGAAUUGAAGGGGUUAUGACUAAUUCCACAAAAAUAAAGAGCCCCACAAGAAAAUAAUACUACAAAAGAAUCACAUUAAAAAAAUUGAUCCCUCACACAUAUAUUAAACUUGGUGGACUCUUGACGGAUAAAUUGGGGACUUCUUGACUCAAAAUGUAAUUUAGGUUAGUGUUUUUUUCUUUUUUUUGUCAAAUCAACAUAUCAAUUCACUCACGAUAUGAUUAGCUUUAUCAAACCUAAAUGAGAUUCAAACGAGUUAAUUUUAAUAAUUUUUUUAAUUAGUAGAAACAAUAAAACAUGUUACCAAAAUACUAUAGAGAAUACUAUGCAUAUAGACUAAAAAAACUAUUCAUGGCGACACUUUAAUUACAUUUUUCCCCUUCUAUGAAAAAAACCAAAAGCUUAUGAGUUAAGGGCAAUUCAAUCUUUUCGCAUUGGUCAUUAAUUAUUUCACCGGGAAACAUAUAUGUAACCAGAAGCUUAUAAGUUAAGGGCAAUUUUUUUACUAGGACAUAUGGGACUUUUCUAUUUUUUAUGCGUAGCAAAAUGAUUUUUUAAAUCUUCAUAUAAAAAAAACUAAUUUUUUUUUAUUAAGGAUAUUUAAGUUUUUUAAAUAGAGUAAAAAAAAAUUAUUUGCUCUUAAAAAUCAAGAAAAAAUCAAUAAUUAGUCUAGAGAUAUCUGUGUUUGUUGACGUUGGUUUUUUUUUAUUAAUUCCAAAAAGGCUAAUUUGAUCAUUGAUGAAUAACUAGUUUUUAAAUUUAAAAAGUUAUUGAUGGAUGUAGUUCACAUGUCAUUGACACUUAUGCUCUUUGAGUGAUAUGCACGUGCCUCAUGUGGUCAAAUCUACCCUUUUGGUGGAGGUUGGUUAGUUUGUGGAUGACGAGUUAUUUUUUUUGCUUUCUUCUUUUUCAAUAGUUACAAGUUUGUUUUUUUUAUUAUUGGUAUUUCAGCUAUGAUACUUAUUCUUUUGAUAUUUAAUUCUUUUUCUUAACCAUUUUGCAAAAGUGUCAUUUAUUUUCAAUUUAGUUCUUCAAUUUCAAUUUGCCAUAUUUUUUUUUUAAUUUGAUCAUUGUUCUUUGAUUUUUAAUUUUUUUUGCUUGCCCUAUUUUUCAAUUUUAUUAUUCAAUCCAAUUUUAUGGUAUAUUAUUUUUCUAAAUCAAUCCUCAUUCUUUUGAAUUUUUUCUUUUGUUGAAUUAUUUUUCUUUUCAAUUUGACUCUCUAAUAAAAAAAAUUUGGUUUCGCAUUCUAAUUUAUUUUUUAUUUCAAUUUUCUCUCUCAUUCGUUUAAUUACAAUUUUUAUUUUUAUUUUUUUUGCAUUAAUGAUUUUUUAUCUCAUCAUUCAAUAUUUAAUUUGUUGAGUAUAUGGCUUCAUGAUUUUUUUCAUGUAUGGUACUUUUGGUAUUAGUUUAAAAUGUUAACAUAGACUAACAUUCUUUUUAUUUAGCUUGUUGUUUUUCUGACAUUAAUUUUGUUUUCAAAAAAUAAAAAAUAAGAAUUUCACGUUCACAUUAUUUUUUUUCCUUCUUUAAUUUUUUUAUUGUAGAUCAUUAAUUUUGUUUUGUUUUUUAACUUUUUUUGAUUUAUUUUUUCUUCAAUUUUUCUUCUAAUUAUUUGGUUUAAUUUUAUUUUUAUAUCAAAGUUGAUCUUCAUUCUUUAGAUUUUUCUAUCCUUUUUAUUAAUUAGGUUUUUUUUUAGUUUCAUCCUUAGCAUUUGAUUUCAAUUUUUUUAUGUCAAAUUUUGUUUUUAUUCUUUUUAUCGAUAUUUAUUUUGUUUUGGAUCCUUAUUUUUUAUUGUUUUUUUCUUUGUCAAUUUUUUCUUUAAUUAUUUUUUUAUGGAGGGUUUAGCUUCUUUUUUCCCCACCUUCUGUUAUGUUAAUUUCACUCUCAUGGUUAGGAUGAUGAGUUUUGAAAAUUGACAUGAGAUGACUUUGGUCAUUUUUAUGUCUCUCGGCGUUUGAAUUUUUGAAAUUGAUAUUCAUGGAUUUUUUUUUCUUUUUCUUAUGUGGGAUUGUCUUAUUUUUAUGCUUAUGGUUACAAGGUUAAUGUGUUAACUCGAAUCACUCGAAUUUUUUUUUUCUUUGUUUUUUUUUUUCAAAUUAAUUGGAUGCAUCUUUUUAUUACAAAUUUUGCUUUUUUAUUUUUUAGUGUUUAUCUUCUAUGCAGACGAUCUCUUCAAUCUUCGCCUCAUAGAUGACCACGAGUUUUAAAAGUUUACACGUGUAGAUUUUUACUUUUUUUGUUUUUAAUUAUUUUUUUAAUUUCAUCCCUAAUAUUUAUUUUUUUAAGAAAUGAUCUUCUUGCUUUAUUUUAUUUUUUUCGCAUUUAUUUUUUUGUGGUAUCAAAUAUCUUAAUUUUAUUUAGUUAUUUAUUGAUCAAAUAUUAAUUUAUUUAACUUAAUGUAUAUUUAAGCAUUUUAAUUUAUAAUUAGAAGUUUUUUAUAUUAAAAAACUAAUAAAAAUCCUAUCUAUUUUUUUAUUAAAAAAAUUUAAUUCAUAGCAAAACACUAGUUAAAUAUCUAAUUUUUUUUUUAAAUAAUAUUGUUUUAGUUUAAAAAAUAAAACUAAAAACAAUUAAUUUUAAAAUUGACUUUGCUCGUAUGAAAUCAGGUUUUGGAUUCGAUCAGACCCCAGGCCCGUAUGAAAUCUAUGGUCGGUCCCUUCCUGAAGAAACAAGAGGCAGAGAGAAACCAAAGAGAUGAGCUAACAGCAUCGACAAGCCACACAAUUCGAUUCUCCACCAUGCUAUAUAGAUUGCUUCCAAUACAAGAUUUCACAGGUUUACCGACGGAAAUAUUCCGUCGGUGUGUGACAGAACGUUCGUCGGUAAAGUAUUUCACAUGCCGUCGGAAUACCUUUUGUCGGUGAUUUCACAUUCCGUCGCUAUAUCGGUCGGUAAUAAAAAAAACACAUUUACCGACGGUUUUACCGACGGCCCGUGCGCGCCAAAAAAAAAAGUUUCCCGCUUGGAAUAUACCGACGGAAUAUAUUCCAUCGGUGUUAUGUAAAUACCGACGGACUACCUCCGUCGGCAAAAGUGUCGGUGAUAUUUCAUACCGACCGAAUAAAUCCGUCUGUAAAUUCGUCGGUAUUUUUAUACCGACGGAUUAUUUCCGUCGGUGAAUAUGUCGGUAUUUUUAUACCGACGGAUUUAUUCCGUCGGUAAAUCCCUGUGUAAUUUUUUUUUUUAAUUAUUUAGAAAACAUAAUAUAAAUUAAUAGUAAUACAAACCAAUUAUGCAAAUAAAAUUUAUAUUAAGCAACAAAAACUCAAAGUUAAAUAAUAUUCAUUACAAAAUGAAUGUGUUUUAAAAAAAAACAAUUAAUAUAAAGGUGGAGGAGGAGGAGGAGGAGGAGGAGGAGGAGGAGGAGGGUGGGGGUUAGGCGGCCAAAAAGGAUUCGGCGCACAUGUUCCGCCUUGUGUCAUGUUCAUGACCAUUUGACGAAGCUCUUCAUAGGCCGCUCUUUGUUGUUCAGACUCUGCUCUGCGUUGUUCGUCCGCCAAUCUAUGUUGUUCGUUCGCCAAUCUUUGCUCUUCUUUGAGUUGUGUGUACGCCUCUGAUAAGUGGUCGCACCUUUGCUGCAAGGCCACAAACUCCUUAGAUUGGGAGCUCGAUACAAAUUGGGAGCUCCCACCGGUUGAAGCAGUACCGAUCGACCGCAACUUGGCAGCGGUAGUGUUGGAGAGCCCGUAAACCCGAUUUUUAUCGGGUCCACCUGACGAUCCAACCUCCAUCCACAAAUCCGGAUCGAAUUCUGGAUGGGUCGAAGGAUCAUCCCCGUAUCUCUCCCUCAACCGAUUAUUAUAGGUCUCCUGAAAAAAAAAUAAUCAUAUUCAAUUCAAUAAACAUAAUAAUAACUUACAAAAUAAAAUGGUUGAACAAACACACCACAAACUGUUGAGCACGGUUGUCAACGAACUGUUGCGUCCCCUUUUGACGGUCAUGACUCCGCACGUGCGUCUCCACAAACAACUCCAUAGGGCUCGGCUCACGUCCAAGAGACGUAGCCUAUAUAUAAUGAAAAAAAUGUAUUAACAACAAAUUAAUUGAAUGAUAUAUUUCAUUUAAAUUAAUCUUACCAUCCGUUUCGCAUGUGCAGCAAACGGAACGGAGCCGCCGGUGUGCGUUGUAACCGAGCCAUGAAUUUGCCGAUUCCGGUUGCCGGCACCGGACUGUGAGCGUCGAGUGAACCGCUCAGACGUCAUGUGCUGAAGAUAGUGCGGCCAUAUAUCUUCCGGGAUGUAUAUUGGUUUGAAAUCCCUCCAAACCGCAACAUCGUUCCAGCCUUAUAACCCCUUAUCCCUCGCUGUUUUUUUUGCUUUUUUCUAGGCGUCAUACCAAAAAUCACGCAACCUAAUUCACGCACGAAAAAAUUACAUUUCAAAACAUAAAUAAUUAUGUAAAAAAAAGUCGUAUUGUUUUCGAUGUUACCUAAUUGCCGCGUGAUUUUCCCACACCCUCCUCACAACACUGUCAUGUUCAUCGUCCCAGCAGAAUCGAUGCUGUAUAUAAAAAAAUAAUUUUUUAAAAUGUUAAUAAUUUAUUUACAAUUAUAACAUGAAUUUAUAAUUAGAAAUAAGCUGAAAAUUAUAUAUUAACACGAACCUCAAAUCUACGAAACCAUGCAUUGAUUUGAGGCAUCCAUUCAGGAUGUCUGGAUAUCUGACUCCAUUGAAACAAUGGAAUCUCCAUCGACGCUUUAAACGCCGAUGAUAUUAAUCGGGCGGCCUCAAUGUUUGUGAACCUGAAAAGAAAUGAAAUUAAUUUGUGAUUACUUCAUAAAUUAUGUUUUAAAUUUGUUUUUUUUAUAUAAAAAAAAACUAAAACAUUAACAAACUUACAUUGAAAGAUCGUCCUUCCACUGUGCCUCGAACUGGCGGGUAAAUUGAUUCCGCUUCGAAGGCAUGCCGCGUCUGCGAUGUGAAACAUCGCUGGAAGAGGCAGCAUCGGUUGACGGCGCAGGUGGUGUAGGUGCCUCUUCUUGAGAGGCACCUAAGGAAACAUCAUCAUCGCUGCUAGACGAACUUGAUUCGACUGGACGACCAGCUCUGGUUUUUAUUUUGCGCAUCUAAACAAUUUUAUAUUAAUAAUUGUAAAAUAAAAUUCAAAAGUUAAAAAAAAAUCGGCAGCACCUCCCCUAUACUGGAUACUACCCAAAUCCACAAACCUGCAAAUAUUAACAAUAGCCACAACCAAUCGAACCAAUCUAUACUAAUUAUUCCAACAUAUUCAACUAUUAAUCCUAAGAUAAAUUCAACGUUAACAAUUACAAUUCACAAAUUAAUCAAUAAUUAUAUUCAAAACAAUAAAAAAUAUAACAAAAAAUAAAGUCAAUAAAUUCAACAAAUUAUACUUCAACAAAUUAACAAUUACAAUUCAACAUUAACAAUUAUAAUUCAACAUUAACAAUUAUAAUUCAACAAAUUCAAAAACUUCAAAAAAAUUCAAAUAUUCAACUUUAACUAAUUCUAAGUUAAAUUAACUAACAACAAUUCUAACAACACAACAACAAAAAAUAUUCAAUAAAUUCAACAAUUAAAUUCAAUUAUUCAACAAUUAAAUUAACAAAUAUUCAACAAAUUCAAAAAAUUCAAAAAAUUCAAAAAAUAUUCAAAUAUUCAACUUUAACUAAUUCUAAGUUAAAUUAACUAAUAACAAUUCUAACAACACAACAACAAAAAAUAUUCAAUAAAUUCAACAAUUAAAUUCAAUUAUUCAACAAUUAAAUUAACAAAUAUUCAACAAAUUCAAAAAAUAUUCAAAAAAUUCAACUUUAACUAAUUCUAAGUUAAAUUAACUAAUAACAAUUCUAACAACACAACAACAAAAAAUAUUCAAUAAAUUCAACAAUUAAAUUCAAUUAUUCAACAAUUAAAUUAACAAAUAUUCAACAAAUUCAAAAAAUUCAAAAAAUAUUCAAAAAAUUCAACUUUAACUAAUUCUAAGUUAAAUUAACUAAUAACAAUUCUAACAACACAACAACAAAAAAUAUUCAAUAAAUUCAACAAUUAAAUUCAAUUAUUCAACAAUUAAAUUAACAAAUAUUCAACAAAUUCAAAAAAUUCAAAAAAAAAAGGAACGAAAUAUACAUACCUUAAUAAUGUGUCAAAUUCAAAACUUUAUCUACAUUGCAACAAAAAACACCAACACAACAAAAAUAAAAACAACUAAAAAUAAAAUAAAAUAAAAUAAAUUAGAAAAAAAACACAUACCUUUUAAUAUAAUGAAGAUUUACAACACCAAAUCUUGCUAGAGAUUAAAGGUGAAAGUGUUUAAGGAUUGAAGGGAAAAAAAUGAAAAAUCUAAGGUGAAAAACGGAGGAGAAGCGAAGCGGCGGGGAGAAGAAGAAAAAAUGAGGCGAAGCGGCGGGGCUGAAACUUAUAGGUCAAUUUUACCGACGGCAUCACCGACGGAAUUAACAUCCGUCGGUAACAGGUCAAAAUUCCGUCGGUAUUUUUCGAAUUUCGCCCCGAACUUUUAAAAGCCCUCCAAAUUUUUCGCAGUCCGUCGGUGAUCUGAAAAGUUCAGAGGCGCAUUAAUUAACGCACUUUGGAAAACGCGCGGUCCGUCGGUAAUUCUGUCGGUAAUAUGUGUAACCGACAAAUUACCGACGGACCGAAGCCGUCGAUAAUCUCGUCGAUGGUGGUGUUAUGUUUUCGAGCUUACUGUGAGAUGCCGACGGAUGUUAUUCCGUCGGUAUGGGCGUCGGUGAUUGUGGCAUUUUAUUGUAAAUAUUUUCGAACUCUCUGUGAGAUACCGACGGAUCACCAUCCGUCGGUAUGGACGUCAGUGAUUAUGGCAUUUUGUUGUAAAUAUUUUCGAACUCUCUGUGAGAUACCGACGGAUCACCAUCCGUCGGUAUGGACGUCGGUGAUUAUGGCAUUUUGUUGUAAAUAUUUUCGAACUCUCUGUGAGAUACCGAUGGAUCACCAUCCGUCGGUAUGGACAUCGGUGAUUUUGGCAUUAUGCAUGAAAGGUUGUCUUUGUAUUGCCUGUUUACCUUCCUGCAAUAACUUAACUGAUAAACUGUCUAUCACAUAAAACAAUAACCACAUUGCUUAAACAAUAAAUAUUUUGUUUUACAAAAUACAUCAUCAAUAAUCUAAAUUACAUGAGACAAAUGUUUUUACAUAGGGCUUCAUUUUCAUAAUUAGUCGGAAUUUUCUUCUUCUUCCUCAUCAAUUGAAUUGUCAUCAUCUUCAUCGCAAUCUUCAAUAUGGAUAUCAUCUUCUUCAUCGACAUUUGGUUGUCCGCUAGAGCUGAGAACAACAUUCAACUCCUCUCCGUCAAUAUCAACAAGACUAUCAUCGAGAACUCGAAAAUUUGAAUUUUCUUCCAAUUCAAUCGAAGGAGCAACUCGAUAUGGUUCAACCAACUCACGAACUUGAAAGACUUCAUCUCGCACACUUGUGUCUUCGUUCUCAUCCUGAACAACCUCGACACGACCCCGUGGUUUCGUUUUUAAAACGGACAACCAAUCAACUCUUGAACGAUCCUUUCUAAAUGAAGGGGUGUAUGUGUAAUAAACUUGUUGACAUUGCUUUGCGAAAACAAAGACAUCGUUUAUGUUGCGGAGUCUAGCUUUUGAGUUGAUUUCGACCAGACCAUGGUGCGGAUCAACUCUGAUUCCUCUGUCCGUCGUGUCAUACCAAUAGCAUUUGAAUAAAAACACUUUAUUCUGCUCGCUAUGAUAUUGCAGUUCGACGACCUCUUCUAAUCUACCAUAGUAGUCAACUUCUAACUGGCUACUUGUGGAUCCCUUAACACAAACACCGCAGUUGUAUGUCUUUCUUCCUUGCCCGUAUUCUUCAGUAUGGAAAACAUAUCCAUUGACAAAAUACCCGUUGUAGCACUUAACUUUUCUUUCAGGGCCGAGGCUUAGUGAAGACAAUGACUUGGGCGCACUCCUUCCCAUUUGAUAAACCUUGUAAAUAUAUGUAAUUAAAUGUACAUCAAUACACGGUAAAUGAACGAGAAUCUCGUAAUGACAUGCAUACGUUAGAAUGAGUUUGUGAUAGUGCUUACAUGUGUUCUGAACCAUGUGGCAAAUUGUUCAUCUUGUAAUUGAAAGAUCUGGGAUUCGGUCAGCUGCGAGUUAUUGGAGAGCAAAUAUUGUCGAUGUUGCCUGCAAGUGAUAAUGAGUGUAUGAUAUUACAAUAUAUAAUUAACAGUAUAUUACUGACAAAGUUUAAUUACUAUUACACAUAUAUAGACUUACUGAAUAAAUGGUCUCAGCUCAUCACAGUUAAAUAGAACAUAGUUGUGUGCUUGUUUGAAUUCUAUUUCCGACAAAUAUCUUCCUCUUACGGCAUUUUUAGGUGUGGGUCGUCCAGUAUUGGAGAAUAUUGACAAGUUCCCACUGGAAGGCACUUCACCGCCAUCGUCAUGCCGUGGAACGCGAUUGAUUCUUGUUCUCAGAUGAGGUUCGAAAUAGUACGAGAUAAAUGUUGAUAUCUCUUCAACAAUAUAGGCCUCAGAUAUCGAAGCCUCAACAUGCGCCUUGUUCUUAACCUUUUUUUUUAGAUUAAACAAGUACCUGCAUUGAAGUACAAUUCAAGUAUUUUCAAAUAAGAAAAACAUAGAAAAUACUUUAAGAUAUGAAUUCCAUUGCAACUGUAAUAUCUCACCGUUCGAAUGGGUACAUCCAUCUAUACUGGACCGGUCCUCCAGCUUUUGCCUCGAACGGUAGAUGUAUAGGGAGAUGCUCCAUUGAGUCAAAAAAUGAAGGAGGGAAUAUCAUCUCAAGUUUGCAUAGUGUCUCGAUGAUAUUCGUUUGAAGCAUCUCAAUGUGCUCAACAUUCAUCUUGCUGGAGCAUAUAUCUCUGAAGAAAUGACUGAUCUCCGUUAGUGCAUCCCAUAUUCCCUUUGGCAACAAAUCACGAAAAGCUAAUGGGAUGAGUGUUUGCAUAAACACGUGGCAGUCAUGGCUCUUCAUUCCAUACAAUCUGCAGUCCUCUAUGUUAACAAGCCUUGAUAUGUUCGAUGCAUGUCCAUCCGGGAAACGCAGACUCUUAAGCCAUUUGUAGACUAGCAGUUGUGCGUUUUUCUCUAACACGAAGCUUGCCCUUGGUUUUGCAACCCGUGACUCGUCAUAAACCAACUCCAUAUUUUUACGGUUACAGUAUAAAGCUAUAUCCAAUCUAGCCUUCAUGUUGUCCUUUGUCUUCCCCUUCACAUCCAUGACGGUGUUGAAAAUAUUCUCAAACACGUUCUUUUCGAUGUGCAUGACGUCAAGGUUAUGGCGGAGAAGAUUAGUCUUCCAAUACGGAAGCUCCCAAAAGAUACUUCGCUUUACCCAAUUAUGGGUCAAACCAAAACCAGGAAACUUUUGCUUACCUGAUUGAAGGCCAAACACAAUGUCACCGUACUCUGAUACAACAUGAUGCAAUUCUUCACCAGAAAGACGCGGGGAUGCAACAUCUUUUUCAACUCUACCAACAAAGAAAUCUUUUCUGUUCUUUCUGAACCUGUGAUUAAGUGGCAAGAAGCGACGGUGACAGUAAAAAAAGAAGCUUUACCUCCGUUUGCUAGCGUGAAUGCCUUGUUGUUUUCCAUGCAGUAUGGACAUGCGAGUUUCCCAUGCGUGCUCCAACCAGAAAGCAUUCCAUAAGCUGGAAAAUCACUGAUAGUCCACAUCAAAGCCGCCCUCAUAAGGAAAUUUUGUUUCCUAGAUAUAUCAUAAGUCAGAGAUCCGGAGGACCACAACUGCGCCAGCUCAUCUAUCAACGGUCGAAGACAAACAUCUAUAUUCCGCCCCGGGCUGCUUGGACCGGGUAUGACAGUAGAUAGAAACAUGAACUCCGGCCUCAUACACAUUCCCGGUGGCAAGUUAUAAACUGUGAGAAUGACCGGCCAACAAGAAUAGGGAGCAGCAAAUGACCCAAAUGGGUUGAACCCGUCUGUACACAACCCAAGUCGAACAUUCCUUGAUUCAGCAGAAAAGUCAGGAUGAACACUGUUAAAGCGUUUCCACGCUUCGCCGUCAGAAGGAUGCACCAUCACACCAUCAACGACAUCGUGUGUUUGGUGCCAUGUCAUGUGCUCAGCAGUCCUUGGUGACAUAAAUAACCUCUGCAGUCUAGGUGUGAUCGGGAAAUAUCUAAGUUUUUUAUAUGCCACUAGAGUCUUCCCCCUGCCAGUUCUGGGUUUGUAACGGGAAUGCCCGCAUGUCAUGCACUCGGUCAUCACAGCAUUUUCAAGGUAGUAUAACAUGCAGAAGUUAGGGCACAUGUCAAUUUUCUGGUAUCCUAAACCGAGGGGUUUCAUCAUGGACUUCGCAGCAUAGAAGUUCUCUUUGAGCCUGUUCCCUUCUGGUAAAAUGCUUCUUGCCCAAUCAAUAAUUUUGUCAUACCCGGCCUCACUCAACCCGUGAUCUGACUUGAUGGUGAACACCUGUGCCACAGCCGAUAAUUUACUGUGGUUUGUGCAGCCAUCCCAUAAUGGUUCGUCAGAAUCUUUCAACAAAUCAAAAAACCUAGCUGCCUCUGCAUUAGGUUCUUCUUCUACGAUUGGACAUUGAUUGACAUUAUCUUGAUUCAUUCUCAUUGCAUCCAUAACCAUGUUUCUGUAAGGAUUAGUGUUGUCAUUUGCCGCUUCAUGCACGUUGCUAGCACUAGAAGUUGACCCAACCACCGUUUCUCCCAUUCUCCUAUUACUAACAAAUACCUCUCCAUGUGCAUACCAACACUCGUAAUCCUCCACAAACCCUUUGUGUAGAAGAUGCAUCAUUACAACAUCUGGAUGCAGAUACUUUUUAUUUUGACACUUCCUGCAUGGACACCUAAUACCGCCUCCAGUAAAAUUUCUGGGAAUAGAUGUUGCGAAAUUAAUAAAACCCUGAACCCCGUUACAAUAAUCCAUCCUCCGCAAUCCUUGGGGUGAAUCUAGAUACAUCCAUGAACGAUCAUCCAUGACUUCUAUCGAACCUCUAUAAAAAGGACCCAUUAAUUAAGCAAGCUCUUAAUUAUUUCAAAACAACAUGUAAUUCGGUAAUUCUACAAAUUAAGUUUUAACAAUUUUCAAACAAAUACAAUCUUACAAAAUCUAAAACAAACCAUAACAAGUAUAAAAUUAUACAUUCAUAUACUACAAGUUUGUUUGAGAAAUAACAAUAAAACAUGUACAUCUACUAAAAAAAAUAAUACAUAUACUAAAAAAACAAUAAAAUUAACAUUUAAAUGUUAAAAUUUUAAAAGAUAGAAUUACUUACAAAAAAUGAUAAAAUCCGUCGGUAAAUCAGAACACGGAUGCUGUGACCACAAAACAAAUACAACUUGUUGUGCUGAGAUGAGAAGAUUUUUGUUUUGGGGCGAGGGGGGGCUGGUUAUUUUGCAGAUGGGGAGGGUUAGGAUUAGGAAGAAGAAGGAGAAAUGGGGGAGGAGAGUGUCGGCAGAGGGGCCAUAUAUUCACUUUUGCCGACGGACUUACCGACGGUCUUUAUUCCGUCGGUAAUUCUGACGGGCAAUCGACACGUCACCGCACGGACCUGCUAUUCAAAUCCCUCGGUGAUUCCGUCGGUAUUUUUAACGGUGCACCCGUCACGUCACCGGUACGGAUCUGGCAUUUCAAAUCCGUCGGUGAUUCCGUCGGUAUUUUUUGACGGUGAAUAGGUCCCAUCACGCGUACGGGCCCCAGUUUUUAAUUCCGUCGGUGAUUCCGUCGGAAAAAUCACCCGCCAAAACCUCCGCGCCACUGCCCGCCCUUUUUUCAUUAAUUCUGAAUUUUCGGUCGGUAAUUACCGACCGAAUUACCGACGAAUAUUGUCCGUCGGUGAUUUGGGCCGAAAAAUACCGACAGAAAAAAUUCCGUCGGUAUGUCCGUUGGUAUUUAGCGAAUUUCUGGUAGUGUUCCUUGGACAAGUCGCAACACAAAUUCCAAAACCCAUUUUCAUUUUCCUAGAUUUUGAGUAAGUUUUAGUUCAUUUUCGAAGUGGGUGGUUUGAUUUAGCUUAGCUUAUCGUGUUGUAAAUUGUCAUCUUUUUUGUUGAAUGCUGUACUUGGACAUCACUUUUUGUAGUAUCAUGGUGUUAGUGAUUGUGUUGUGAGGCCCAGUUGGGGAAUUGGUUUAUUUGUUCUGAAUCCACUCUUGUUUGGUUUGUUUUAGCUUAGUGUGUUUUACUUGUGAGUUGUACACUUGAAUAUGUUGUUUUGUGGAACAGGUUCUUUGUUUUUCAUGAUUUUGUUUAAAAAUGGAGCUUAAGCUUGAGUUUUUAAAAGCCAACUUAAGGAGGGUUCAUCUUGGUAUAAUGAAUUGAAGCGGUCAUGGUUCAAUUUUGCUCAUUUUGAUCCAUUUCUCACUUGUCUUUCAUAGUUUGGAUCCACAUUGACGCCAUUUGUUUUCACUAUUCGAGAAAGAGUUUACUUUUUUUUUUUGAAUUUCGAGGAAUCCUCUUAUAAGUUGAUUGCUUGUCAGAAAUGGAAAUAACCCUUAUUCAACUUAGCUUGGUUUAAUUGCUGCUCUUUUUUUCAUGGGCCAAUUUGGAGAUUGAACUGUAUUUUAAUUGUAAAGUUUUACUUUCAUGCAGAACAUGGAAGCUUGGUGAUUUUGAUAAAGUUUAUAUUGAGUUAACAAAAGAUGUUGCCUGUUUGCUCUGCCACUCAGUGUUGUUCCUCUCAUUUUCAGGUGAGUUUCACUUCCUAGACUGUAAUUUAAUUCGUGUUGUUGCCAAGUUUCUAUCAUCCUUGUACCUUGGAUUUCAUCUAUGCCCUUAGUUUAGGGGAUGCAUGACCUCUAAUUAGGUGAAGAACAAGCCGGGACUGUAAUUGAACUUUUGUUAAAGAGAAAAAUUCUGGUGUCAAAAAUAAAAGAAAAAAAAAAUGUUGCAACUAGAAAUGUCCGCCUCUUUAUAAAAUAUGUUUGAUGUAUUUGAGUUGAAAAAUCUUGGGUGCCUAAGUGAAGGUUUUGAAUGAAGGUAUCAAUUAAGCUUCAACUGUUUAAGCGUAAAGGUCAGUAUGACAUCAUGUAGAGCUUAUGUGCCUAAGUGAAGGUUUUGAAUUGAUUCUCAUGCUCUAGCAUGGUAUCAUAGUCCAGUGCAGUUUUCUCCUUUUUCUUAGGCCUACACAUCAGAGGGAUGCUGGUUAAACCCCUUAACAAUCUAGCAGAAAGUUUUGCAUUGGCCUAAUAAUUGGCUUGUACACUCCCUUUAGUAGUUUAAGCUUGUCGGUGUGAUUCUCUGGCACCAACUUCCUUCUCAUCUGCAGUGGAUUAUGAUGGCAUUUUCUCUUCACUUAGAGCGUGUUUGAGAUUGUGGUCAAAAUAACGUUUACUAAAAAUUUAAUAUUUUUUGUUUAAAAUUAAUUUUUUUAGUGUUUUUGAAUUGUUUUGAUGUGCUGAUGUCAAAAUAAAUUUUAAAAAUGAAAAAAACCUUGUUUUAAUACGUUUCCGAACGAAAAACACUUUGAAAAGCAAUAGUUACCACAAUGUCAAACAUGCUCUUAAUCUAAUUACUUGAAUCAUAAUAGAAAAUUAAGAUAUGAGGUCUGUGAGACUCCAAUAUACAAAGUCCUUGUCCACCUUUAAAGAACAAAAUUUGACAAUUUUCAGUGAAGCCUUGCAGGCAGUAACUGAUGUGCGGAAUCCGGCGACCGGUGAUGUAUUGAUCUUUGCUUAUAGGAGGGGUAAGCACACUGAGACACAAUAUUUAACGUGGUUCAGCAAAUUGCCUACAUCCACGGGAGAGGUUCAUUUUAUUUAGAGAUAGAGAAAGAAUACAAUAAUACAUGAAGGAGGAUCUCAUCACUCAACUCCCAUCUCUCUUUGCUACAUAGGGCAGCAGCUGCUGGUGGCAGCAGGGCUGCUGAUGGCAGCCCUUCUCUUUCUUUCUCUCUUCUUCUCUCUUUUGUAGCUCUUCUACAAGACUCUCUCUCUCAUUUUGUGAUGCACUCUUGGUGUCUAUUUAUAGGCUUCAAUGACAGCUCCUCUUGCUACUUUGUCAUCAAUGGUGGCUGCCAAACUCAUCUCUUCUUCAACAAAGAUGGCUACCAAAGUCAAGGUUGGUGGUUGCCACCAACAAGCCUCCUUCUUUGACAAUGUCAACAUAAUUGGCAAUAUUCCAACAAUCACCCCCUUUGCCAUUUAUGUGGGCAAUUGUCAUUUUGCUUCUUCAGCACACGCUUUCUGGAGCGUUCUUGACCUGGGCUCCUUUCAUGGCCCUCACACCUUCUCUAAGGUGUCUCCGCUUGUCGUUGUGCGACGGUCUAAACUAGGGCUCCUAUCGUAGCUCAUAGUUUGGCACAUAUAAUUGGGUAAACAUGUGCACCUUCUUCUUCUUCAUCUCCAUCGACCACCAUGAUGACCUUUAAAUGCCUCCUGAUCGGGCAAUCUCUCUUUAAUAAUUCACCAUUGUCAUUGUUGGUCUCGAAUCUCAACGAUCGGACCAUACCAUUGCAUCCGGAAUGAUCAAAUUAGCUGGAAACAUGUCUUGAAUCGUCCAAAUCGCACUUCAGACGGCUAAGAUUUGAUCAAAACAAUUCUGGCCUAAUCAACGGCUCAUAUUCACUAUCAGAUCCGGUUGCACGUAGGAUCAGCUACACUGGAUCCUAUCCCUCAGCUCGCGGCUCGGCUCCAACUCAGCUCGGCUCCACUCGGCUCGGCUCGCGGCUGAUGACAUGGCAGGUAGGUCCCACUAUGCUGACAUGUCAGUUGACUAAUCAAUGGCUUGCUGACUGUUUAUGCUGAUGUCAUCCUUGCAUCAUGCUGAUGUCGUCCUUUGCAUGGCACUGUUCAUGAUAGCGUCACUGUUCAUGUCUGCUGUUCAUACUGUAUUCGGGUCGGUCAACUCAUCCGGGUGAAGAAGACGCGUGGGGCGCGUCUGAGCGCGUGGGCAGACGCCUUGCCGGAGAGUGAUGGAGAGUGCGGCCAUGUCCGACGUACGAAUUUGACGCCGUUUUCACCAGUGGCUUCGUAUCGUCCUCCUCUACACAGUGGGAUGGUCAAAACACCAUUUUGACAACUUUCAUUUUUGAGCAAAGAUCAAACACCACUUUAAACCAAAAAAGCUCUGAUACCAUUUGAUGUGCGGAAUCCGGCGACCGGUGAUGUAUUGAUCUUUGCUUAUAGGAGGGGUAAGCACACUGAGACACAAUAUUUAACGUGGUUCAGCAAAUUGCCUACAUCCACGGGAGAGGUUCAUUUUAUUUAGAGAUAGAGAAAGAAUACAAUAAUACAUGAAGGAGGAUCUCAUCACUCAACUCCCAUCUCUCUUUGCUACAUAGGGCAGCAGCUGCUGGUGGCAGCAGGGCUGCUGAUGGCAGCCCUUCUCUUUCUUUCUCUCUUCUUCUCUCUUUUGUAGCUCUUCUACAAGACUCUCUCUCUCAUUUUGUGAUGCACUCUUGGUGUCUAUUUAUAGGCUUCAAUGACAGCUCCUCUUGCUACUUUGUCAUCAAUGGUGGCUGCCAAACUCAUCUCUUCUUCAACAAAGAUGGCUACCAAAGUCAAGGUUGGUGGUUGCCACCAACAAGCCUCCUUCUUUGACAAUGUCAACAUAAUUGGCAAUAUUCCAACAGUAACUUCCAUGCACCCUAUAGGACGGGGUAAACUGAAAUUCUUAUAUCUUAUGUUAAAGAAGGACUUGUGAACUCUGCAGACCAGUUUGCUGAAAAUAUAGAUGGUUUAAUACAACUUGUGGAACCUGAAAUAACAUCAACUAUUGAUAUUACACCAGAGAAUCCUUAUUUGGGAUCUGAUACCCUGAAAAUGGAUAAUGAUUCAUUAUCUAGCGCAAAGGCUGAUUUUGAUGAUUUUUUGAGCAGGGUUAGGGACUCCAUCAACACUUCAGUAAAUAAGGGAGGAGAUGUUGUGCAAAGCUCACUAGACACAAUUACUUCUUCAAUAAAAUCGAUUAAGGAAGGCGCCUCAGAAGCAGUAGAUGGUGCCUUGAGUAAAGUAUUCUCAACUUUUGAUCAAACAGGAGAAUUGGUUGGCAAUAGAUUGACUAGCUUUUCAUUUGGUUUAAGAGAAGCCAUAAAAAAAGCUACUGGCAUUUCUGUUGAUGUGCUCAGAGGUGCAAUCGUUGCAGUGGAGGAAUCUAUAGCAAAAGGGGCUUCUUUUGUUGUUUAUUCUUAUGGGUCUUCCAAGGAUUUGCUUCCUCCAGAGAUCACGGGUGCACUGAAUCUGCCUGAAGAAAGGGUAACAGAGAUAUUGAGGCCAAUUGGUGCAACUUUUCAACAGGUACAUUAUACUUGGCAUGUUUUACUUUGAUGGCCGUUGUACUCUUAUGUAAAUUGUAUGGACUUGAAAAAAAAAAAUAUCCUGCAAAGAUAUAUUUGGAUUAUUUUAGAAAUCUUUUUGUUAGAGAUAUCAGUCACUACUUUCAGCUUAUAGGACUUCUAGUUGAAAACUCAAUUGCGUCCAUCUUUGUUACACUGCUUAAUUAUUUGCUGAUCUAACUAAUUUAUGUUCCAAAACCAAAGCUGAAUUUCCUACACCUGCUUUUACACCUUAAGCAGGUUUACAUUGCUAUUGAGGGGCUGCAGAAAAGUCUUGGCUUGGAUCCAAAUGAUCCAGUUGUUCUUUUCCUUGGAACUUCAGCCACUUUGUGGUAUGGAUGUCCUUUUAUGCAUGGAGGAUUUGUUAAUUUAAUCUGCAUUACAUGGGAAGCUUAAGUUUUCUAUCAUAUUUGUGUAGGGGUUUUUAUAGGGUGUGAGCAUAUGGUGGUUACUCUUGAGAUUUGUCUCCGCAAUUAACUUUGGAGCUCUUGGCAGAAAAGAAAGACGCCAUACUUAUUGAUGUUCGGCCUGAGGCGAGAGAGUAAAUUUUUUUGGCCUUUUAUGUUCUUAAGUUUCUUUUGUUAAAUUCUAGUACCUCAAUGAGAGACACUAAAGCUGACUGCUCAGACAUUUACUGAAGGGUCUGUACUGUUUUUCAACUCUGUUCAUUAAUACUUUAUAUCUUUUAGCUACCCCAUUUCAUAUUUUCAAUAUUUAAUUUCUUUUCACUAGGAAAUAUUACUUACCAUCAACCUAUCAACCCCAUUUCUUUUACAUCAUAGUCAAAGAAUCUCAAAUAUGGCACCCUUAUUAAUUUCCUUUUUCCCCCUUAACAUGGCAUUGAACUUGGUGGGCAUUGUUUAUAUGAAGGUUCUCAGAGAAAGAGAUGGCAUUCCUGAUCUUAGACGAGCCGCUCGGUUUUGCUAUGCAAGUGUAACUCUACCAAAGGUUGGUUUUAUUUGAUAAUACUAUUCAAAAACUAUGAGUGGAGAGGUAUCGCAAUUUGGUAUGAGGAUGAUAUUUUAGAACAAUUACUUUCUAAAUGUCAAAUAACUCUUUGAACCAACAUUAAAAAAAUAAAAUGAGAAUUGGAGUUUGGCUGUAUCCUUUUUUCAUAACUGUGUCUUAUAUUCUUCAACUUUAUUCAGCUUGAUGGCCCAGCAAGGAAGCUUUUAAAGGGUGGAAGAGAUCUUGAUGACAUCUUACCUGCUGCAGUCAUUCGAAACUUAAAAGUUGUACAGGUAUAGCUUUAUGUUCUAAGAGCUUCAAUAUAACUAUUGUUUAUGCAUGCCGUCAUUGUUUCAAGACAUUCAGAAAAAUGAGAAUUCUGAGUGUCGCACGUGUGCGGCGGCGCGACGAUCUUUCACCCUCAAGGAAAAAAAAAUCGGAAUAUUUAUUCCUGAAAAAUAGUCAGAGACAAGGAAUUCUUGUCUCUACAAGUAAAAAAAUGGACUGGGAGUCACCACCUAGUAUUCUGGUUACUAGGAACCUUAACUGGUCUUUAGAGAUCGGGUACGGAGACUGGUUGCGUAAAGGGAAGGUAUUAGCACCCCAACUAUGCCCUACCUAAGGUAGGCUGCAUUGUUUUAAUGUCUGAUAACAUCUAAGGUCGUGUUUGUGGUUUUUAAUUUUAUUGUUCGGAAUACGCAUUACAUGUAAUGUCAUAUCCCAAGUUCUAUUAAAAUAUAUAUAUAUAUAUAUAUAUAAUUAAAUUAAAUAUCCGGAAUAUGUAUUACGUAUAAUGUCAUACCCCGAAUAUUAAAAGAUAAACAAAAUAAAAUUUUUUUGUUUUUUUGAAAUUUUGGCCAAUAUUCUCUUGACUUUAAUAAACUGGUUAUUAAAGCCAAAAUGCAUGCUAAAACAUUGUUUUUUUUUUGUAUGAAAAAUACAAAAUGAUUUUUUUUUUAGACAUAUGGCCGUAUGCACAAAAACAUUUUUUUUUUUAAUUUGGUUUUUUGUAUUCUUGAAAGUCGAAAACCGGUAAUUUCAGUAUCGGAUUUGUAUUUUACAACAUAAAAAUAUUGUCCGAUAUUACAUAAAAAUGACAUAAAAACUACGCGGAAAAAUGAUAAAUGAAACAAGUAUUUUUGAUUUUUUUUUUAUGGGCCGGAUGAACAGUACCACGGGACGAAAACGGGGUAUUUUAAUACCGGAUUUAUAUUUUUACGAUGUAAAAUACAGACGAUAUUAAGCAAAAUGAUAGAAGAAAAUGUGCUUUUAAAAAAAAAAAUAAAAAAUUAUAACAAAAUAAUAAUAAUAAUAAAAAAUAAAAAAUAUGGGCCGGAACAGGCCUAAAUGCAUGGGCUGGGCCGACCAAGCCUAUUUACAUGGGCUGGGCCGACGGCCCAGCCCAAGCCCAAACGGGCUGGUUACUGUGCAUCAGCACAGUAACCAGCCCUUCGUUAUUUGCAGAACGUGAAUUAAUUCACGUUCUGCAUGAAGGCGCAGCAGAAAAAAGGGGCAGAGGCGGGCAACGAUGGCGUACCUGCGGUGGCGUCGAGGCGGUGCUGCUGGCGGCGGAGGCACGGUGGCCGGCGGUUUUCCUUUCUCUCUCUCCUCUGUUUUUGUUCUCUUCUCUGCCGAUCUCUUUCUUCUUCUUUUUUUUUUUCUUUCUGUUUCUCUCGUCUCUCUCUACCCUCUUUCUGUCGUGCAAUCCUUCUCCUUCUCCCCUCUUUUUUUUUUUUUUGGUCUCUUCCCCUGUUUUUAUAGGCAAAAAAGGGGAAGACGUCACGUGGUGGGGCGGCCACUGUUGGCCGCCCCUCCACUAUCGUUCAGUGAAAAAAGGAGGCAAGUGGGCGUCGAAUGGUGGGCGUCUUAUUGCGCAAAAACGGGGAAAGAAGUUAGGCGAAAAGGGAGAAGAAAAAUCUUCUUCUUCCCCUGCCUCGCGCGUCCAGGGGAAGAAGAAGACCUACAGUGCCGUCAAAACGGCACCGUUUUGGGCUUCUGUUUUUUUUUUUUUUUUUUUUGCAACAGUGAAUGAAACGGCGCCGUUUUGGUCAAAACGCGCCGUUUCAUUUAAAAGAAAAGGCGCCAAAAGCGUCAGAUUUCAAAGAAGGCCCUCAAAUUGCGCGCGUUUUACAAUUUCGUCCUUGGUCUCGGAUUUCUUCAAUUAGUCCCUAAUUGGCCAUUAAACUUCAAUAUUUAUGCAAUUAAGCCCCUGAUUUGACCAAAUUAACUUUCUUAAAAAAAUAAUUUGACCCCAGAAAAUUAAUUUCUUCCAAUUAAAGCCCAAAAUAACUUCAAAAUCAAUUGUUUUUUGCAAUUAAAACCUCUAUAAAUUCAAUUAAACCUUCAAUAAAAUUUAAUUGAGUCCAUAAACUUCUAAUAUUGCAUUUUUCUUCCUCAAAUUGAAUUUUCUUUAUUAUCGGGGCUCGCAUCAGUCAAUGAUAUACUGUCAAGUUUUAAUUUUAAUUUUUUUUUUUGAACAUCCUCAAUCAAUUUUUGAAUAUUUUUAAGGCGUUCUGGCAUUUUUUUUUCACUGUUAUAUUUUUUUGAUAAUAUAUUUUUUUGAAUUUUUUUGAAUUUUUUUAGGUGAAGACCCAAAAAUGGGUUAUAACACUGAGUAGUGCAAGAAAGAGGAAAUUCUCGGGGGGAGGGAUUUGGGUUUGGUUUAAUCAAUGUUGUGUGUUUUAGCAUCAAUGGCCUCCGAGGAUGCAAGAAAUUUUUUUGGUAUUACCAUGUGUAGUACAGUUGCUACAUCACAAUCUACUGAGUAUUCCAUAUUUAAAUCCUGAAGUAGGAACAUUGUCUCAGAGAUUUUUUUGUUCUUAUACUUGUAGGACAGGUACCAAGUAAUAGUUAUGGAUGUUGAUGGUUCUCGUUCUAUAGACAUUGCUAGAUCCUUGAGAAAGCUUGGGGUUAAGGCAAGUAUUCGGAAUCGCUAAGAUUUUUUUUAAUUACAUAGAAGGCUAAACAUCUAAUUCAUCAGGGAACUAGAAGGGCAAAAAGAAAAUUUAUCCACUCUCCCUUAGUCAAGUUUUUUUGGGAUAAAAAAACAUUUCUGAUUGUUUUUUCAGUGUCAGUAACCCUUAGAAACAAAUAACAAUAUCCAUAUUAACCAGAUUUGGGAAGAGUACGUUAGUGUCUUUUGUGCAUUUACAAUGUUGUUAAGCUGAAAACCGUUACUCCUUAUGCAUGUUUUUCUUUCGUAUAAAUAUUAACCAGAUAGAACCCAAUUUUCAUUCCUAUUGUUCUCAAGUGGUACAAAUCAGAAAAUGCAUUAGUAUUACAUCUAACUUAUGUCCUUAAAAUAUAUAUCUCUCUCUAAAAAAAAAUAGUCUCUACCUUGCUUGAAUGGGAAGUUGCAAUGUAUUAAUUAAUUUCAAUAUUCUUUUAUUUCACUCCAUAUAUUGUUGGGUUGUAUUGUUGUGUAAAUGGCUUGGAGAGAAACAAGUUAAAUGCACGAAUACUAGAUGAUACCAUGGUUCAUUCCUAGACUAUCAUAUAAUUUAGAUAGAGAAGAUAGUAGAAUUUUGCGGAAUUAAACCUUGUGACCUGCAUUAUAAGAAAAUUUGCACUGUCAGGUGAGUCUAUUGUUUAUCCGGAACCACAACCUAUUGUAUCAUAUUGCUAAUUGUUUGUUUGUAUUUUUAUGCGACCGAGACCAUACUUGGUCCAAGGUGGCUUCCAGUCUUGGGUAAAACAAGGUAUCCAAGUCAAGGAGCUUAAACCUGAGUCCGUGCUAGCCAUACUUAAUGAGGUAAGGUUAUUGCAUGACUUGUCUAUUCUCUUAACUAGUAUAAAUUUCUAGAAAUACAAAAUUUUAUUUGCCAAAAGCCAUCGAUCAACUCAAAGUAUAUGUGUGGCAAAUUACAAGCUGUAGAUUAUACAAUAAUAUAUUCAACCAGCUCAGAUAAACCUAGAGAGUUGAUUAAUUUGACAUUUAUUUCAAAAACACAUGAAAGGAGUGAAAUUUCUUUGCUGGGUGCACAUUGGUUUCCAAUGGAUACUAUCAAAAUGGUUUCCAUAUAGCACGGAACAACAUGCACACACAGAGGCAUAUGAGAUGUACUUGUGUCUGUGCAGGGCGCGUGUAAAUUUACAUGGAAACACAUAAACAGAAGUGUGUGUGUGUGAUGGAUACUUAUUUCAAAAACACAUAAAAAGAGUGCCAUGUGCAAUCACACUUGUUUGAACAUGUGCAUCCUGAGUGUUUGUAUAUAUGUAAUUGAUGGGCUAUCAUAAAUUGGGUAUGCAGGCUAUAGGAAUUGUAUGUUUCGAAGCAUGACAAUCCAUAGAUUUAUGAAGUGAAAUUAUGCACAGUAUCCAAGUGUUGAUUGUUGGAUAAUUAAAUGCACCAAAUCUGAAGCAAUUUUGACAAAAAUUAUUACUGUCUUUAUGCAAUCUAAUGUUAGAAUUGGCAUCUCUUGUUAUAGACUUUUGGUUCAGAUUGAAUUAUUUCUUUGGUGCACUAGAUUGAAUCAUAUGGAAUUCAGUUGGAGAAGUGAUUGUUAGUCAAACUGUAGGUUUGGUAAAUUUUCCAACAUGUUGGGUGCAAAGUGGUUAAAGAACUCCUGAAGCUGUACUGCAUAUAAUGUAGUAAGAAAUCAACAUGUGUUAUGUCCCAAGUAUCUGAGCCCAAGUUUACAUGAACGUUUUGAAACAUUCAAUCAAACAAGUUGAUAUGAUUCUUUACAACUCAGAAAGUUAUGUUGGUAUAUGCAACAAGCUAACUUGUUGGAUCAUUUUACAAUCUGGGAGGAAGGUUGUUCUCCCUGUUCAUACAAAUCAACAACCUUCACAUUUCAAUCAACAUUUUUCUUUUUGCUAAGACCAUUUGGUCGUGUAGGAUUUACAUUCAAUCUGUGCUAUUUUUUUCAUGGAUUGAAAAUUAUAAUUACAAGUAUUUUCUGGAAGUGCUUGAUUUUCUUGUGCAAGAUCUAAGCUUUUCACAAUAUACUUGUGAGUUGUGACAACUUGGCAUCAUUUCAGGAGGCUGAAGCAAUUCUAGAAGAUAUCAGACCUUCGCCAGUGCAAACACUUGGGUAUGGUGUGGUAAGAAAUCAGAUUGCUUUUUGUGAUACUGCACUAUGAUUAGUCUAUUUCAAUCAUUUCUGCUCUUUUGGAUUUCUUUUCCCCAACUAAAGCCAUCUUUUUUUUAAAAAAAAAAAGGAUAUCUUGUAUCUAGAGAGACGUGUUUAUGGGAUGGGAAUGAUCUUUGUAUUUUGUAGUAAGGACAUAAAAUAAUUACAGGUUGAUUUCUCUUUGUUUUGAAUGUAUGCUUCUGUAUGGUCUAGAGACAUGCUUCCACAAAGAUGUGUAUAUGGUUAACUAGAAUUACUCAUGCUGUUUACAUCAGAUCUUCAUUAAUCAACAAUCCAUGAUUGAGAAAUAUCUAUUGCUUACCAUGCAAAUGUCCAGUGCAUCCUUUACUUAUACUAUAUUUAUGCCGUGGACAAGGUUUUGCUGCAGCAUCAUAUGCAUUGCUAGGUUUGUACAUUUUCUUCCUCAUGGACAGGCUCUCUAUUACUUUUCAAGAACAACUCCCCAAAAUGUUGAAGAGUUUGAAAUACUUCAGUUGUAUUAUACAGAACAAAUGAUAUAAAUUCUGGUUUUCUUUUUCUUUUCUUUUUUGUUGCUUUCCUCACAUUCUUCUUGCCAACCAAGCUUGAACUUUGUUUCAGAGUGGGAGAAGACCUUACAAUUUAUUGCCAUCAUUGGCCUCAGACAGGUAUACUUUUAUUUGUUAUAGUGCUCUGGUUAAUGUUUCUUUCACACACAUAGUUGGUGAUUUCUAAGUUGAUAAUGGUUAAAACAAACUUCACACAUUAUGAUAUUGUGCUAGUACUCAGAUCCUUUGAUGUAUUCCGUAGAAAUAGCAUGUAUACAACCGUUAAGCUAGAUUCCCUUUGUCUAUUUUGCAUGUGUCCUAGGGAAAGGUUUAUGUCAUUGAUAAAUUUAGUUAAGUGAACCUUGAGUUUCUCUAAUUAUUGGUUUCUAGCACUGCGCCAGACUAUUUAUCAGCGGGUUGCUUCUUACAAUGGCCCUGAAGAUUUUAAGCAAGAUGUGAGGUAUAACCUACUUCGAAAAUCUUUUGUCCUUAGUGUAUUUAUGGUGUAAUUGGCACAAUUUUGUAAAUCAUAAUAGAACCAGGUUUGAAAUCAAGUCUAUGUUUAUUCAUGCACAAUGAAUUAUAUAAGACGCACCUAGUAUCAUGUUAGAUAGAUAGGUGUCAUAUGUUAGUACAACAUUAUUUAGCAACCCAAAUCACAUGUUUACUGGGACGAUGAGUUUUUAUUAACAAAAUGAACCAAACUCUUCUGUAAAGGGCAUGAAAAAAUUUAUAUAUAGCAAAUCGCAUCUGUGUCUAAAUGUUCUUUCAACACUAGGUUCUUGACCAUGUUCUGAUUAUGUCAGAAGUUUGAGUCGUGUCGAUAACCAAACUACCUAUGAAGUUUUAUAAUGAGGGUGGUUAGUUGUAAAGGUCACGAAUUCAUCUAAAUUAGUUCAGGAAUUCGUUAUAACUUUCAGACUCCGUAGAUUUUGUCAAGAUCUAGUUUUAAAAUGAGGUUGGUUAGUUAUAAUCUAGAUUUUUGAGUUUAUUUAUAAUCGGCUGAGAUCUAGAAUUUUUCUAAAUUAGGUUAAAAAAAUAUUGUCUGAGCUAAUUUUGUUAUUUUUCAUUUUCAUUUUCAUUUUCUAUUUCUUAGUUUGUUUAGGCUAAUUUUGAGUUUAUUUAAAGAGUUAUAAAAUAUACAAUAAUAAAAUCCUGAAUUUAAAGUUUUUAUGUACUUACUGUUUUUCUUGUAAUUUGGUUAGUAAAUAGUAAUCAAAGAUCCAAAACAUGACUAAAUGUACUUAUUCUGCAUGUGCAAGAAUAAAUGCGCUAGAUGGUUGUUGUAGUUAGUUGAGGAAUUAGUUGAAUAACAGAAAGUUAGUUCGUUAGUCAGUUGCAAGGGAAGAACAACAUUUACAGCUAUCUUGAAAACCAAGUAAUAAUUGAAGAACAAUUUGCAGUAAAUACAUAACUCUCUCUCCCUUUCAUUUUCUUUUAUUUCUCCCUCAAUUUAUUUUCUUCUGAACCGUUGUUUGUUAACGGGUAAAUAUCUUUACCCGUCAGUGUCCGUCGGUAGAUUUUCAUCAAAUUGCAGAUACACCCCCCAGCUUUUCAACUCCACAGGCCUUCGGCUCCUAAGACCUCCCAUUUCAUCCAGGUAGAAUUUAAAUGUAACUUCAUUGCCAGAAUAUUUACGCAAUUUAUUUACCAAUUCGAGCGAGUAGCGUAGAAUCAUGUGAUCUGAGUCACAUGUCUCCAAUAAAAAUAAUGGAGCAUGUCUUUUCUGGGAAGCGAAGAUGACUUCAUCAUCACCAUCAUUUUCACCGUUUUUACUCUUAACAUGGCAAUCAAAAUAUACAUUUGAGGGCAUGUAUCCCGUUUGAAAAAGACCAUGGGAGGGAAGAGGGAGUAGAAAGACAAGACAGAAAGCAAUUCCCUUGAGCUGAUGAUAAUUUGAGGGCAACUGUAUGGCGAGUGAAGAUCCAAUUCCUUUGUCACCGAACCAUUCUGGAAUUUCACUCCCCGGUAGAACCAUUCGAAUUCUACCAUAUGGGAUCUCCUCUCCGGACUGUAACACAAGAGUCACAUUUCGAAAAUGUGAUGAAGCAAGCAAGAGAGAGAGAAGAAAGAAAGACAAGGGGGUUUAGAGAGAUACCUGAAUUUUCAAAUGCAUUGCUGCUACCAGUUGUUUCUGAUCCAAUUUUAAGCAAUUUGUAAAAUUCAAUUGAUGCCAUAAUCUACCGAUAUUUAUGAUUGAUAUCGCGGUUUCUAGUGAUGCACAGUUACGUGUAUGUAGAUACCUCAGCGAAGGGGGGAGCUCAGGUAACGCUUUAAUAGGCGUUCCACUCAAAUUCAGGAAGUCCAAACAUACCAUAUCUUUGAUUGACAAGGGUAUCUCUUUAAUGCCUGUUUUACUCAAGCUAAGAGUGUGCAAAGAUUUCAUAUCCUCUAAAUUCUCCGGAAACUUGGUCAUCUUUGAGCAACCAUCUAGACAAAGCCAUUUCAACCGGCCAGUAACUGAUUGUGGAACUUCUUUGAUUGAAGUUUCCGCCAAACAUAAGCUUUCCAAAUUUUGUGAAAUCGUUGGACACGUGGUCAUAUCUAGGCACCCACGUAUAGAAAGUUUUCUGAGAACCUUUGAAUCAAGCAUUGGAAAACUUCUAAGAUUAUAGCAACGAAGGAGAACAACUUCUUCCAACUUGUCAAGAUAUUGAAGAGAUGACGGAACCUCGGUUAAGCUUGGACAGUCCACAAGUCUUAAGGACACUAAAUUUUUGGCCAUUGAUAGAUCUGGCAAUUCCGUCAAAUAUGGAGAGUCAGAUAGGUCAAUUUCUCUUAAAUUUCCAACAUCCUGUCAACAGAAAAGGGCAUAAUUAGAAAGUUAGCACCUCCAACUUCAUAUUUUUGAUCAUAACUCUGUAGCAAUUAAAUCAUACCUUUACUCCUGUCCAAAGUUUUACAAGCUUGCUUUUGCGUAGGCGAAGCUCGACAAGGUGUUCAGCACGAAAAGAUGGCGGCAAGGAUUUCAAAGGGAAUCCAUCCCAUCGCAAAUAUCUCAGCUCAUUAGGAAGAUAUUCGAGGCCAGUAGGAGGAAGGUGCAUUUUAUUUUCUAGGGAGAAAAAAUCGUGAGAGAAAUUGAGAAAUCUAAGACCAUCCAUCAUUGCGAAGGCAUCAGAUUUCAAGUGUAUAUGUCUCGAUAACAUGGACACGUCCAAAGAUAUGCCUUUAAUUUUUUGAGUUCCCUGUUAAACAAGAAAAAAGAAUAAACAAACAAUAAUACAAUCUACUCGAACACAUCAACUUUUGAGCAAAUACAUGAACGACAGUUAAUGGUUGUAGCUUUAACCUUAUUUUCCUCCAAUACUUGAACGACAUCAGGACGAUGACAUAACCUGCUACGUUCGCCAGGAAAAUCAGACUCUGCACGAACAAUGUUAAAUGCCAUUUCUCGUAGUAAAUCAUGCAUUUCUAGCUCGUUACAAGUUGCAGUUAUGAGACACUUAUCAAUGAGCGUGCUUAUAUCGAACUUCACAGACCGACCAUAUAAGCCAUCUAAUAUUCUUGUUGCUUCGUCUGGCCCCCAUCUUCUUGUGAAGAAAUGUGCUAUGUCAAGAAAUAUGGGUUUUUGUUCUGAAUCCAACCCAUCGUAGCUAAUUCUCAAUGCCCUUUCGAUUUGAGGGUGCUGAGCUAGUUUAUUCAAUGCACUGCGCCAUUCUUCGAUGCUUUUACCAUAGAGAGAGGAACCCAAAACUUUAAGAGCCAACGGAUUGCCUUGUACAUGCCUUGCAAUAUGUUUUAUCAAGUCUCUUUGAUCAAUUGUGGGGAUGCAAUUCUUCAAGGCUUUCGAGCUAAAGAGUUGAAUAGCGUCUUUAUAGUUCAACCCCUUAACCUCGUAUGUUUCAUCAACUACAUUCUUGAGCACUUGUUUGUCCCUACUUGUUAUGAGAACUUUACUGAAUGGACCAAAUGAACUGUUUCGUCCAUCAAGCAAAUCUCUCCAUUCAUCCAAAAGCAUUAAAUAAUCCACAUCAUCCAGAACAAGCAAAGCCCUUAUGCGACGAAGUCUCUCCAUCACAAAAGAAUCCCGAAAACUCAAGGAGCCCAUAGUGUCCAGAGUUUCUUGGCCAAGCAACCAUGAAAGAAAGCUUCUUCGCAAAUCAGAUUGUUGUCUAAAGUUUGCAAAAAAUAUUCUUUCAAAUUGAGAACAAACAUUGUCGCGCACAACUUCAGCAAUCGUUGUUUUACCGAUACCACCCAUUCCCCAUAUCCCUACAAUGAGAACAUCUGGAGACUCCAUAUCUAACAAAGACUCAACUGCACUAACACAAACAUCAAUUCCAAAUAGACCCGUCAUAGUGUGACUAGAAGACAUGGCAUGCAAUUUUUCCGAAACAUCUCGAACGAUAUUCUUAAUAAAUUCAGCCUCUAGCCUGACAAAUAAGAAAAACACAUAUAAACAUACUCCUUGGUAGCAGGCACGUAUGAGUAAUUGAGCAUCAUUAUUGACAAUGGAUACAGUUAAUCAAUCCUUAAAAUUGGAAACUACAUGUAAUCGGUGUUUAUCUAAGAAAAUCAAUGAAAUGCAAAUAUAGCAAAUUAAGUUGGCAUAUGAUAUUCUUUUCUCAUAUCAUCUUAUCUUAUAGAAUCAUCUCAAUCAGUAUUAUUUUUUUAAUAUAGCAUUCUCCUUUUCACCUCAAAUAAACACUCAAAUAAAUAGAAUAUUAUUUAAGGACACAAGAAAACAUUGACUGUCCUCAUAAAAUUUAACGUAAGGAUUCCUAAAUAUCUACUUUUUAUCUUAUUCAAGAAAAAAUUUAAAAAUAUAUUAAAAAAUAUUUUUUAAUAUAAAUACAUUAAAAUAAUCUGAAAAAACUAAAAAAAAUAGUUUAAAAUAAAAAGAAUUAUUUUAAAAAUAUAUAUUUUUAAAAAACAUUUUGAAACACAAAAACAAACAAUCACUUAAUAUCAAUACAAACCUUAAUAUCUAUACAAGCAUUUCACUACAAAUAACUUUUUAUUUAAAAAAAAAACAUUUUAAAACAGAAAAACAAACAACCACUUAAUAUCUAUACAAGCAUUUCACUAGAUAAUAUAUUUUUUUAUUUUUUAAUAUAAACACAGUAAAAUAAUCUAAAAACAUUAUUUAAAAAAAAAUUAAUUUAUAAAAAAACAUUUUAAAACACAAAAACAAACAACCACUUAAUAUCUAUACGUACAAAGAUUUAGCUACAAAUAAUAUUUUUUUUUAUUUUUUAAAAUAUUUUUUAAUAUAAACACAUCAAAAUAAUCUAAAACAAAACUAAAAACAAUUAAAUUUAAAAGAAAAUAACAUUUUAAUACAUAGAACAACCAACCACAUAAUAUCUAUACAAGUGUUUCGCUACAACGUUUUCAAAAUCAAAUAAAAUAAAUAUGGAUUCACAGAGCUCAUCAUUCUCAAUAAUUUUAAAUUAAAUUUAAAAUCGUCAACAAAUGAACGAAUAUUUUCUCAUAGGAUAUAUUUCAAGAGCUUACCCAGAAUUCCCUAAGCUCCAUCCAGAUAGAUUGGCUGCAUCCUUCAAAGCGUCUCUGAAGCUCUGCACUUCUUCCAACGUCGGAGCUUUAUUCCUUGUAAGUCUAGCAAAUGCAUCCCCAAAGCUUCCUGUUUGAUGUCUUACAUGGGUUGGAUCCACCUUGUAGAAUACCGGAAUAACUAUCUGUCCAUUGUUUCUUCUACACUCAAAAAUCUUUACAAGCUCCUCCAAGCACCAUUUGGAAGAUGCAUAGUUUUCAGAAAAAACAAUCACAGAAAGCUUGGCCUCUUCAAUUGUUCUCAGAAGUGAUGCCGAGAUCUCAUCUCCUCUCACAAGCUGAUAAUCUAUGAAAGUUAGGAUUUGUUUCCGGUCCAAAGCAUCAUAGAGGUGGCUGGUAAAACCAACACGAGUGUCUUCUCCCCUGAAACUAAGGAAGACAUCAUAUUUAAUUACUUGUGGCUGGGCGGUGGUUAAGGUGGAAGGAGUAGAUGACGAUGGAAACAUUGGGGCUUCGUAUGAUGAAUCUCCAGAUAUAAGCAAACACUUUGAAGAAACAAGACAUCAAAUCCAAUAAUGGAAAUUUUCUUAGGCUUUACGUGUUUAAGACCCUGGCUUAGGCAUAUUUAUAAUUACAAUAAUGGGGGCAUCAAAUCCAAGAAUUUUCUUAGAAGAUUACAAGAUUGCACAUUGUUGAUUUCCUGGAAAUUCCCCAGUUACAAAGUGAUGUGAUAGAAAAAGGAAUUUAUACGUUGUUUUGUUUUUAUGGUAAUGACAGUGUUUUUAUAAAUUUUAAUUUGCUGGUAUAAAAAUAAUUUUUUAAAAUAAAAAACAUAUAUAUAUUCUUGUUGAUCAUAUCACAGCUGUGAUAGAUAACUUUUUUAAUAUUUCAAAUGUAUUAGCUAUUCACUUGGCGGAGUAGCAGAUCUUUUGUUAUUUUCUCUACGACUUUUUUUAUUAUAUAUUUUAUUAUAUAUCUUAAUAUAUUUUUAAAUAAAAAAUAUUUAAAAAAACAACUCUUACUAUAUUUGUAAACACUCUCUAUAUCUCCGGUACAAGUAUUUGCCUUAUAGAAAACUAUUUUGCUUUCAUAUUAUAUUAUAAUGGUUAUGAUGAUUUAAUUGAAAAGAUCUUGUUAAAUAACUUGUUUGAUAUUGUACUAUUGGUUAUUUUUUAAAUUAUUUUUUUAUUAGAAAUAUAUUAAAAUAAUAUUUUUAUUUUUAAAAAUUUUAUUUUCAUAUCAGAACAUCAAAAUAAUAUAAUUAAAACAAAAAAAUUAGUUUAAAAUAAACAAAAUUCAAAUUCAAGUAUUUUCCCAAGGCAUUACAGAGGACGCACAAUGUUAACUUCCUGGAAAUUUUCCAUGCACAAAAGGCUUCAAGUCUUGUUAUUUGUGAUGUGGUAGGAAAGGGCAUUUAGGCUUUUGUUUGUCUUUGCUAUAUAAACAAUGUUUUCAUAAAUUUUGAAAUUAUUUUAUAUUUUAUUUGAGAUUAAUUUUUUUUUUAGUUUUUUUGGUUUGUUUUGAUAUAUUGGUGUCAAAAUAAUUCUUUAAAAGUGAAAAAAACAUUAUCUUGAUAUAUUUUCAAGCAAAAAAUAUUUUAAAAAUCAAUUUUUUGCAUUCACAUUAUAUUAUAAUAGUUAUGAUAAUUUAAUUGAGAAGAACUUGUUAGAAAACUUGUUUAGUAUUGAGAUAAUAAUUAUUUUUCAAGAUAAUUUUUAUUUGAAAAUACAUUAAAAUAAUAUUUUUUUAUUUUUAAAAAUUUAUUUUUAAUAUCAAUAUAUAAAAAUAAUAUAAAAAAAUUAAUUUAAAAUAAAAAAUCAAAUCCAUGUAUUUUCUCGGACGUUACAGAGGGUGCACAUCUACUUGGAAAUUUCCUGUGUACUAAAAGCUUAAUGUCUUUGUUGACUUCACAUUAUAUUAUAUUGAUUACGAUGAUUUCAUUGGGAAAAACUUGUUACUCUGCCCCAGUAAUAAAAAAUAAUUGAUAUAGUUAGAGAAAUAUAUAAUAUGGUUUAAUUUUUUUUUUUUUUAAAACCUAAUAUUUUAAACUACUAUUUUAAUAUAAAAGCAAUUCAAAAUCACAAUAGUGGUUCUGUUUGCUACUUUUGGCAACAUAAUUGGCAUGCAGCCAUGUAAUUAUAAUUACAUCUUCUUUUUACAUGCUUCCUUCCACCUCAUUAUACAUAAUCUAUCCAAAUAAAUCGGCAGAUGCCAUUUCCUUUUCCUUUUUCCUUUUAUAUAUAUAUAUUGGGCAGCGUGUUCGGGAAGCGGAGCUGCCUUGGCAUUACGUGUUUCCUGGAAAUUACUUGUUGCUUGUCGUUUUCGUUUGGCAUUGGGGUUGUAAUUUUUUUUUGUUCAAUCAUAAUUUAUAAUUGUUUGAUUAAAUAUUUAAAAGUAGAUUUUAAAGAUGAGUUCCACUAAAAAUUGAGUUCAUACCACCUAUGGCUUUUGGUAAUGUUCGUGUAUUUCCUUGAAAUUACGUGUUUCUUGUCGUUUUUAUUUGGCAUUGGGGUUGUAAUUAUGUUUUGUUUACUCAUAAUUUAUAAUUGUAUGGUUAAAUAUUUAAAUAUAGAUUUUAAAGAUAAGUUCCACUAAAAAUUGAGUUCAUACCACCUGUGGCUUUUGGUAAUGUUCAUGUAUUUCCUUGAAAUUACGUGUUUCUUGUCUUAACGGUGGCUUUUGGUAAUGUUCAUGAUAGAGAUAAAUCAAUUUUUAAAAGUUUUAGAAUCACUUAGGAAUGAUUUAAAUAUUUCUUAAAUUAAAAUUUUUAAAACUAAGGAUUCAUGGUGUUUCGUUCUUUUAAGAUUUUUAUAAUAUAGUAAAAUGAUUAUACUAUUUUUAAGAAUAAAAAAAUUAAUAUAAAAUAAAAAAAUAAAAAUUUCAAAUCCAAGAAUUUUCUCGGGAUAUUAUAAAAAUAUACUUUUAAAAAUAAUUAUUGCAACACUUAUAAACACCUUCCAUAUCUUGAGGACAAGUGUUUUAGCACGUCAAGAACAUUUUUCCCUUCAUAUUAUAUUAUAAUAAUUUGAUUAAGAAAAACUUGUUAAAGAAUUUAUUCAGUAUUAUAAUAGUGAUUGUUUUUUAAAAUAUUUUUUUAAAUAUAUUACAAUAAUAUAUUUUUAUUUUUUAAAAUUUAUUUUUGAUAUCAGUAUUUUAAAAUAAUAUAAAAAUAAAAAAAAUAAUUUAAAAUAAAAAAUAAAAAAACUCAAAUCCAAGUAUUUUUUAAAAAACAUUACAGAGGUGGACAUUAUUGACUUUCUAGAAAUUUUCUAUGUACAAAAGGCUUCAUGUCUUGUUAUUUUUUUUUUUUGUUUUUUUUUUUUGUAAUUUGGUAGGGAAGGGUAUCAUCAAGUCUUCCAUCCAAGUGUUUGCGCGUAAACUUUAUUGACUUUUACCUUAUAUUAUAAUGGUUACUGUGAUUUCAUUGGGAAGAACUUAUUAUGUAUUUUCUUGGACAUUACACAGAGGGAGUGAAAGAUUGUUCACACGCACACGGUGUAGCAGUCGAUACCUACACCAGCCUUGUUCUUUGUUUAUUUUUAAUAUAUUAUAAUGGCUGUGAUGAUUUGAUUGGGAUGGGAGGAACUUAUUACUCUACCCCAGUAAUAGACACGCAACAAUCAAGUGUUUGAAAACACAGUGAAAUAAAUUAAAUAUUUCUUAAAGAAAAAUUUUAAAUAAAUUAAAUUAAUUUUAAAUAAAUAAAUUAAAUUGUUAUUACUUCAGUAUAUUAACUAGUGCGAUUCACAGUUGGGUUGAUAUUAAUCUUUUUAAAAUUAAAAUAUCAAUCAUGUCAGACCUAAGAAUUUUAUAUCUAGAAUAGUAAAAAGUCUAUAUAUAUUGUGAAGAAGAAGAAGUCUUGAAGGAGAGAGGAAGGGACGGGGGAUGGGGCCAAUCCUCUUCUUGAUGCUUGGGCAAUAAUAACCAUGUUGAUGGCGACGGCGACGACUUACCUUAAAUCUUCCCGGCGAGUGCUUGGGCAGCGUGUUCGGGAAUCUGAGCUGCCUUGACAUUACGUGUUUUCUGGAAAUAGCGUUUUUCUUGUCUUAACGGUGGCUUUCGAUAAUGUUCAUAUUGAUGGGAAAUAAAUCAAUUUUUAAACGUUUUGAAGCACUUAGGAAUGAUUUAAAUAUUUUAAAAAUAAAAUUUUAAAAACGAAGGAUUGGGUGUUUUUAUUUUUUACUAUUUUGAUAGCAUAGUAAAAUGAUUAAAUUAUUUUUAAAAAUAAAAAAAAUCUCAAAUUCAAGUAUUUUCUCAUGAUAUUAUAAAAAAUAUUAUUUUGAUAUAUUUUUAAUUAAAAAUAAUUAUAAUAUUUUUGCCUUCACAUUAUAUUAUAAUGGUUAUGAUGAUUUGAUUGAGAAGAAUUUGUUAAAAAACCUAUUUAAUAUUGUGAUAACAAUUGUUUUUAUUUUUUUAAAAAAUACAUUACAUUAAAAUAAUAUAUUUUUAUUUUUAGAAAUCAAAUCUUGAGUACAAGUGUUUUUCCAUGUCAAGUAUAUUUUUGCCUGCACAUUGUAUUAUAAUAGUUAUAAUGAUUUGAUUGAGAAGAACUUAUUAAAGAAUUUGUUUAGUAAUGUGGUAGCUAUUAUUUUUUAAAGUAUUUUUUUUUUAAAUGCAUCAAAAUAAAAUAUUUUUAUUUUAUAAAAUUUAUUUUUAAUAUCAGCAUAUUAAAAUAAUAUAAAUAAAAUAAUUUAAAAUAAAAAAUAAAAAAACUCAAAUCCAAGUAUCUUCUUAGGACGUUACAGAGGGUGCAUGUUAUUGACUUCCUAGAAAUUUUAUAAUGUACAAAAGUCUUCAUGUCUUGUUAUUUUUUUAUUUAUUUUUUGUAAUUUGGAAGGAGCAUCUAGUCUUCCAUCCAAGUGCUUGCGCGUAAAAGAAUAAUAAUAAAAAAAAAGUGUUUGCGCGUAAACUUUGUUGACUUUCACAUUAUAUUAUAAUUUGGUAGGGAAGGGCAUGAUUAUUAUGAUUUCAUUGGGAAGAACAUGUUACUCUGCCCCAAUAAUAGGAAUUUUGUUUUAAAAAAUAAUAUGGUUUAAAUUGUUUUAGAAAAACAACAUAUAAUUUUAAAAAACCUGCUAUUUUAAAUCACGAUUUUUAAUAUAACCGUGAUUUUGCAGAAUCAUAAUCUAUUCAAAUAAUUUGACAGAUGCCUUUAUAUAUAUAUAUAUAUAUAUAUAUAUAUAUAUAUAUAUAUAUAUAUAUAUAUAUUGAAGAAGAAGAAGAAGAAGUCGUCUUUGGAAGUGUGUUUGGGAAGCUGAGUUGCCUUGACAUUGAGUAUUUCCUGGAAAGAAUGCAUUUCUUGUCUUAACGGUGGCUUUCGAUAAUGGUCAUAGCACUGCUGCAAGGCCGGAAAAUGAACACAGUUUACAACAACUGGUGAUUUUGGACCUGUUUUUGAACCUCGCCAUUUCAUGAUGUGAGCUUGCAUCUCAUUUUACGCCUACAUCCAACCUUAAGCGGAAAAACGAAAGAGGAAAGAAAUACUCUUUCUUAAAACCUUAGUUCUGACUAGAACUAUGAACAUAUUUUUGAGACUUCAACUGAUGACAGAAUGAACUAUGAACAAUCAGUGCUAUCAAUGGUAAUAUUAAAUUACAUAUACAUAAGAAAAUAAAAUUACAAAUGCAUUGCCCCCACAAAGUUUAAGUCCAGGUCUUUAAAAUUAUGAUAUACCAUGCAAUGAUGAUAUAACCUGAAAAUAACAAAGUCAUCUACACAUACCAUGCAAUGAUGAUAUAACCUGAAAAUAAACACACUAAGUCUUGAAAGUCCAGGUCUUUAAAAUUAGAAAACAAUGUUUUCAUGUGAACUGAGCAUAUGAAAAUAAUAAGAGAAGGGUAAGAAGAAGAAGAGGGAACUGCUAAGGGGUCAAGGAAACCAACAACUUGAAGGUGUUUGCCAUCUCUUGGAGUAUGGCUAUCAGCAGCAACAAUUCUGUAAAAUGCCCUGUUUUUGCAUCCUAGUCUAGCUAAACGAAUCUUCACCGCCAUUUUCUCUUUAUUUCGAAUGUAUGCUUCUGUAUAGUCUAGAGAUAUGAUUCCACAAAGAUAUGUAUAUGGUUAACUAGAACUACUCAUGCUGUUUACAUCAGGUCUUCAUUAAUCAUCUAUCCAUGAUUGAGAAAUAUCUAUUGCUUACCAUGCAAAUGUCCAUUGCAUCCUUUACUUAUACUAUAUUUACGAUGUGGACAGAAUUUUGCUACAGCAUCAUAUGCAUUGCUAGGUCAGUAUAUUUUCUUCCUCAUGGGCAGGCUCUCUAUUACUUUUCAAGAACAACUCCCUAAAAUGUUGAAGAGUUUGAAAUACUUCAGCAGUAUUAUAUGGAAACAAUGAUAUAAAUUCUGGUUUUCUUUAUUUAUUUUUUCCUUUUCUUUGUUGUUGCUUUUCUCACAUUCUUCUUGCCAAACUGUUACCAUCGUUGGCUUUAGACAGGUAUACUCUUAUUUGUUAUAGUGUUUGAUCAAUGUUUCUUUCACACACAGAGAUGUUGAUUUCUAAGAUGAUAAUGGUAAAAAAAAAAAAAAAACUUCACUCUUUUCUGAUAUUGUACUAGUACUAAGAUCCUUUGAUGUAUUCCAUAAAAAUGGCAUGCAUUCGACCAUUAAACUAGAUCCCCUUUGAUGGAAAGUUUUAUGUCAUUGUUAAAUUUAGUUUAGUAAACCUUGAGUUUCUCUAAUUAUUGGUUUCUCACACUCCACCAGACUAUUUAUCGACUGGUUGCUUCUUACAAUGGCUCCAUAAGUCUUUUGUCCUACAUGUAUUCAUGGUGUAAUUUGGUAAAUCAUAAUGGAAACUUAGAUUCUUCACAAUGCUAAAUGCCAAUGCUAAAUGCCAUUUCUAGUAUGUUAUGAGAAGUAGUUAUGAGACACUCAUCAAUGAGCAUGCUUAUAUUGAAAAUCACAGGCUGACAAUAAAAGCCAUCUAAUACUCUUGUAGCUUGGUUUUGCUCAAAUCUUCUGAAGAAAUCACAGGCUGACAAUAAAAGCCAUCAAGAAAUAUGGAUUGUUGUUCUUGAUCCAACCCAUUGUAACUAAUUCUUUACGUAUUUUUUAUUCGAGGGUUCUGAGCUAGUUUAUUUAAUGCACUGCGCCAUUCUUCGAUGCUUUUACCAUAAAGAGAGGAACCCAUAACUUUAAGAGCCAACGGAUUGCCUUGUACAUGCCUUAUAAUCUGUGCUAUCAAGUGUCUGUGAUCAAUUGUCGGGAUGCAAUUCUUCAAGGCUUUUAAGCUAAAGAGUUGAAGAGCUUCUUCAUCGUUCAACCCCUCAACCUCAUAUAUCUCAUCAACUACAUUAUUAAGCACUUGCUUGUCCCUACUUGUUAUGAGAACUUUAUUGCCCGCACCAAAUGAAUUGUGUCGUCCAUCAAGCAAAUCUUUCCAUUCUUCCAAAGGCAUUCAAUCAUCCACAUCAUCCAGAAGAAUAAAAACCUUUUUACGACAAAGUCUAUCCCUCACAAAAGAAUCUCGAAAACUCAAGGAGCCCAUGUUCAGAAUUUCUUGGCUAAGCAGCUGUGAAAGAAAGCUUCUUUGCAAAUCAGCCAUGGAACCAGUUUUUAAUUCUUGCCUAAAGUUUGCAAAAAAGAUUCCUUCAAAUCGAGAACGAACCUUGUUGCACACAACUUGAGCAAUUGUUGUCUUACCAAUACCAUCCAUUCCCCAUAUCCCUACAAUGAGAACAUCUGCAGACUCCAUAUUUAACAAAGACUCAACUUUGUUAACAUGAAAAUCAAUUCCAAAUAAACCUGUAGUAUGACUUGAAGGCAUGCCUUGCAAUUUGUUCGAAACAUCUCCAACGAUUUUCUCAAUAAAUUCAGACUCCAGCCUAACAAAUUAGAAGAACACACAUAAUCGUUAGUCAAAAUGGACCAGACAAGAAGAAAUAUAUAAACAUACUCACUCCUUAGUAGCUACAUCUAUACAUAGGAGGCACGUACGAGUAAUUGAGCAUCAUUAUUGGCAAUGGACACUGCUAACAUAACACAUGAAUCAUAAACCUCGACAAGAUUCUCUUACUGGGCCUCUCGAGAGAAUGCAUUUGAGUUCAGAAAUCUACAGUUAAUCAAUCCUUGAAACUGGGAACUACUUGUAAGUGUAUAUCUAAGAAAAUCAAUGAAAUGCAAAUGCAUAAUGUCGCACGUCCAAAAAACCCCGCGCGCGGCUUCGGCUGGUGAUUUUUCGUUGUUGCGUAGUGUUUGCUUGAAUUUGGAGUUGCCACCUAGUAAUUGAUUUCGGGCUACUAGGAAACCGGAUGUACUGGUCUUGUCAGAGAUUCGCGGGUAAGGGACUAGUUGUGGUUAGGGAAGGUAUUAGCACUCCUAACGCACCCUACCUGAGGUAAGCUGCUUCGAGCUUUGACGUGUUAAAGAAGUUUUAAUAAUUGUCUUUUCAUCGGAAAUUAGAAAUAUCACUUACAUAUAAGUUAAUAAUUCUUAACCGUGAUCCGAUCAAAAUAUUAAAUUCUUCUUUAAUAUAUUUGCAAUUUUAUCAUUAAAAAAUAUAUACAAAUAAAAAAAACAAAAUACAAGCACACACAUACACUUUCACUAUUUUAUUUUUGUUUCUUUUCUUUUCUUUUCUUUUCUUUUACAUCCAUAUUUACAAAAUACAAAUAAAAAUUCAAUACUAAAUAAAAAAAUUACAACAACUCAAAAUUACAAAAUAAUCCCUAAAAUUCAAGAAACACAAAUCUGAAAAGCAUUCUGGGUCUGCCUGAACAGUGUUGAGGGAGGCUGCUAGGCGCGUGAACAGUGCUUGGACAGCUGCGGCACGUGGGUUCACGCGCCGCCGCGAGAACGCCGGAAAAAAGGGUUGGCCGCUUCUUCUUCCUUUUCCCUCCCCGCAGACGGUAAGAAGCCACAUCAUCUACAACAAAAAAAACAAACGCACAAACAGUCGAUUUUAAGCUUUUAUUUCUUUGUUUUUUCGGAUCUGAUUUUUAUUCUUUCUUUCUUCUCCGAUCUGCUCCUUCCUCUUCUUCUUCAGAUCGUCUUCUCCCCGGGUCAGUUCGUUAGGGGUUCCGUCUUCUUCUCCUCUGCUUCGGGUGCCAGAUCAGGCGCUACAAAGGGGGGUCACAGCUGUGGUCGUUGCUGCUGUCGUCCGUCCGGAGGCUGAAGCCACAGUGGAGAUGGGCUUGAUGUCGAUGUUCAGGCGGAGGAAUGGACUGAUCGAGGUCGGUGGGCGUCCCUGUUGGAGGCGGUGAGCUGGGUCUGAUGGCUUGUGGGUUGUUGCUGUUGGCGAUUCUACUGGCGUUCGACGAGCCCGCCGCUGCUACUGGAGGCCGAAUGAAGGGGAGGACUUGCGUUGUGUGGCCGGCGGCUGGUCUGUGAGAAGGAGAAAAAAUGAGUAGCCGAGAGAGGGGGUCGUGGGAGGCUGAACAAGGGCUGAGGCUAGUUGGUGAGCAGAAGAGAGGAAAAUUAAUCACCAAGAGUGGGGGGCGUCCGAUGGCUGGUUUUUUUUUGGUGAGGGAGAAGACCAAAGGGGGAGAAGGGGAGGAUCUGAAAUGGCGUGGGGGAGAAAAGGGAAAAUGUCAGGUGGCCGGGGGUUCAAAAAAAUUUAAAACCGGAGGGGGGGGGGCGGCUCCUUUAGGUAGAAUGAGGGAGGUUUUUUUUGUUUAGGGUUAGGGUUUUUUGUAUUUUUGUCUUUUGAUAAUUUCAAAAUUACCCCCCUCCUUUAAAAUUCAAUGUAGCAUUGUAUUUAUAGGAAAAGUUUUGCUAGGUUUUCAAACUAGUCCCUCAACUUUUUCUUUCCUUCUAUUUUCCUCUUUUUUUUUUGUAAAAUUUCAUUUUUCUUAUUGUUUUUGGAUUUUUUUGAAAACGAGCAAUAUCAACGUCGACUCGAUGAGGAAAAUCAAUGAUUUUAAAAAUGGUGCGUGAAAAGUCGAACGCGUUCCGAAAAACCUUUGAAAAUUUAAAUUCUUUUUUUUUAGACGACGUUGAAAAUGCUAAAACGAUGCAAAUAUAUUAAAAACAUAUUUUUUGGAUUUUUAUUGUUUUUUGCUAUUUUUGGAUUUUUCAAAAAUUUUAUAAAAAUAUGGGUCAAAAAUUGGGUAGCAACAGUUGCCCCCUCUUUACAAUGCUUACGAAGCAAAACUCCUCAAAAUUUUGCAUAGUAAGCUUUGUAGAGAAAACAAAAGGAAAAUGAUUUCAUUAUCUUGGGCGACCUGCCCACACACUCACACUAAUCUAUUUUCACGGGCGACCUGCCCACACAUACUCAAAGUGGUCUAUUUUCAGGGGCGACCGGCCCACACACUCACACUGGUCUAUUUUCACGGGCGACCUGCCCACCCAUACUCACUCUGGUCUAUUUUCACGGGUGACCUGCCCACACAUACUCACUCUGGUCUAUUUUCACGGGCGACCUGCCCACACUUUCACACUGGUCUAUUUUCACGGGCGACCUGCCCUUUUAAUUGGGUUUACCUAAGAUCCCAUCUGACGAUCUAACAAGAACAAAAGUUGGUGUGUAGCUCGGUUAAACUGAAAUCCCAUCUAGCGAUUCCCUUUAACCAAAGCUAAAUGAGAUCCAUCUGGCGACCUCAUUCAACUGGAACAAAAAUAUUGUGUAACUCGAUUAACCUGAAAUCCCAUCUGGCGAUUUCCUUUAACCAAAGCUACAUGAGAUCCCAUCUGGCGACCUCAUUCAACUGGAACUAAACUGUGUGUAACUCGGUUAACCUGAAAUCCCAUCUGGCGAUUCCCUUUAACCAAAGCUACCUGAGAUCCCAUCUGGCGACCUCAUUCAAUUGGAACGAAAAUAUGUGUAACUCGGUUAACCUGAAAUCCCAUCUGGCGAUUCCCUUUAACCAAAGCUACAUGAGAUCCCAUCUAGCGACCUCAUUCAACUGGAACGAAAAUAUUGUGUAACUCGGUUAACCUGAAAUCCCAUCUGGCGAUUCCCUUUAACCAAAGCUACAUGAGAUCCCAUCUGGCGACCUCAUUCAACUGGAACGAAAAUAUGUGUAACUCGGUUAACCUGAAAUCCCAUCUGGCGAUUCCCUUUAACCAAAGCUACAUGAGAUCCCAUCUGGCGACCUCAUUUAACCAAAACAAAAGAAUGUGUAAAAAACGGUCUCAUUGUAAUGGGUGACCUACCUAGGUGGAAAGAAUAUGAAAAAAACGGUCUCAUUAUGAUGGGUGACCUACCCAGAUGGAAAGAAUAUGAAGUGCAGUCUUAUUAUAAUGGGUGACCUACCCAAUGGAAAAAAUAUGAAGUGGUCUCAUUGUAAUGGGUGACCUACCCAGAUGGAAAAAAUAUGAUGAAGUGCGGUCUCAUUGUAAUGGGUGACCUACCCAUGGAAAAAAAAAUGAAGGUCUUGUAUGAUGGGCGACCUACCCAGAUGGAAAAAAAUGAUGAAGUGCGGUCUCAUUGUCAUGGGUGACCUACCCAGAUGGAAAAAAUGUGAAAAACGGUCUUAUUAUGAUGGGCGACCUACCCAGAUGGAAAGAAUGUGAUAUGACAAGUGUGAAAAAUAGGACUUACCUGGCGAAGUCCUGAGGGGAUGACAGAAGAAGGGCUGGAAAACUUGGUGCUUCCUGAUAAUUCCCGAUCAUAGGGUUUGAAAACUCGGUGUUUCCUGACUGCAAGGGUUGAAAACUCGAGGCUUCCCGUUGCAAGGUUGAUCUAUUCAUUUCUUUGGGAUUUUCCUAAUGGUAGGGUUCAUCCCAUCGUCCUUUUAUUCCAUGAUCAAAACCGAUUCUUUAUUAUCAUCACCACAAUGCUUCUUUCUUUUCCACCAUCUUGCUGGACCUCAUUAAGGAUUUUCCUGUAACAAUUCAAAAAUAUGUGCAAAUGGUUUUUUUUUUUUUUUUUUAGGUUAGAUGAUAUGCAUGCAUCCUUACCUGAUUUGAAAUAUAGGUCCCCCUCUCUUUGAUGCUCCAUCGUCAUAGGGUGCCCUUGUUUGCAUUCCCAAAGCUUUCUUUUUCUUCCGAUGCAUUGGCUCAUUCAUGUGCUAGCCAUCCACUCAGCUGUAAAUGCAGUGCCCAUCCCGGGCUGUCUUCGACAAUUACUGCUGCAUCGUUCAUCAAGCUUGACCCUGCCCCCAAGUGUGGUGCUGCUUGAUUCAUCAUGAAGGAUUUUCUCUCCUGGAUUCUUCUGAGAAUUAUCCUUGAUUGAUUGUGUGCAUCAUGCCAACACCCAUCAAGAUUGUUAAUCAGUCAUGAACUUGCCUUCGGUUGAAACACCAUUCAAGUAUAUAUGGUCAUCCAUAAUCAUGGAACUGCCAGUCAUCCGACAUGCAUCUCAUACUUUGCAGAAAGCUCAUUGUUGUAAGCUCAAUGUUUUCUCUAGUUCUUCUCAGCAUCUAAUCAGAUCUUGAAAAGAAAUGUAUUGGCAUCAUCAAUGAUGUUCAUGUUAUCACCCAUAUUCAUGCGGUGAAGUGUGCAUUUGAGCUUCAAAACAAUGGUCCCACAGUCAGUCUUGGUGGGUGCAUCCUUCCAGCAUUCAUGCACAUGCAACUAUGUGAUACAUCGUCAAAAGUCAUAACCAUUUGAAGAUGAUAAACCAAGAUGAAGAUAUGAAAAUAUCCUUCUAGUGCAGCGUUGCUCAUCAAUUGCUGCUGAAGUGCACUAGAUCAUGGAUUGUCUUUGAACAACAUUGCCCCAAUAUGAUCUGAAGGUUCGUUCAUCGGUUUAUACUCAAGAAGGUUUUUCCUUUGUCAUUGUCAGAUGCUAAACAUAACUUUGAUGAACUUUGACGACUCAUCAUCUGAUUCUUUCUUUGCCCCCAGCUGAUCAGAAUGUUGUUUGUUUUUCUUCAAGGGUCCACUGUAUUGCCCCAGGUGGUCAACGUUUCAAGGAGUGUCGAGAAAUGUUGAUGUCAUUUUUGUCAAGGAUUUUGCAAACUCAAUUGAUGUUCUUGUUUGAAAUCUUUCUUGUUCUGGAAUCAAAUCUCAUUUCAAAGAUCAUGUCUAUUCAAGUCUAAUUGUUGAAAUGAAAUCAGAGAGAUAUCAGUUUUUUUUUUUAAAGUUUUUGAAAUUCAAAGCUUCUUUGGUCAAAGACCCAACACACUAUUCAAUGCAGUCCUUGAUUGUCUUGUAUUUUGAAAACAGAAAUGACCCGUUGUAAGAUUAAAAUGGUUUUCAUGGUUCUUUGUGUCCACUUUAAACUCUGAUUUUGGGUAUAUCUUUUGAUGGUCUGCGAUGAGGUGACCUUUGUGAAUUUCAAAAACAAAGGCUCAAGUCAAAACUUGAGGAUUCAUAAGGAAAUUUUGUUUUUUAGCAAUUUAUUUUAUCAACAUGCAUAAACCAGUAGCUUAAUUCAUGAAGUCACGACUCUUAUGGAAAACUCUUCAAGUUUUGAGAGCGCCAUUUAUCGGUUCAAGUUGCUUGCUUGAUUAAAAAGGGCUUUUAAAAGCACGUAAUGCAGGCUAUGGUUCAUGGCUAUGAAAGAAAGAAUUUCAAAGGCUCAAAAGGUGUUUGAGGGUUUCAAAACCUAGGAUCAACAUCAAUUAUUCAUCAACUCUUUUCUAUUGUUGUCUUUGUAGAGAAAUGACAUAUAACCUUGUUAACCUCAAAGAUCAACUCUUAACAUAGGUCAUAAUGCAAAUCCAACUUUUUCUUUGAUGAAUAACUAAUCUAAUUUUUGAAGACAUUAGAGGCUCUAUCCAAGACACACCAAAAGAUAUGAAGCAUCGAUUUUUCUAGUGUUGACUUUUGGCAUUUGCUGUCUUUUCUCAAUUGAAAACUGUCUUGCCUCUCUUAGAAUUGAUAGGCAUUCUCCUUUCCUUUAUCUUUAACUUGUCUUUAAGUGAAGGCAAUUUCAACUCAUAGCCUUCCUCAAAAUUUUCUUAUAUGCCCCCAGUCUAUGUGUUUUCUUUUAGCCUUCUCUCAAUCAUUGGACUUUUGUUCUAAGCCUUCCUUUAUCCAUUAAUGUCUUCAAAAUAUCUCUCAUUUCCCCCAGUGUGGGGUGUGAUCCUAGUCAGGGUUUCUUUUGAAAAGAAAUAUUCUAUCAGGCUCAAAUGGGGACCGCAAGGGAUAAUAUUUCAAGAAAUGUGAAGGAUAACAAAAUGGCCUUUUCUCAUUUCAAGCAAGGUCGGUUAGAACCGAUAAAUUUUGACCUCAUCUAGUGUAAUGAUUAGAACUUGUAAGAGUCAUGAUUCACGAGUCCAUAACUAUUGAAUCCACUACAUGUCAUUAUGCAUAUUGCUAAAACUUAGCUAUAUGAUGUGUGGUUCAAUUUAUGUGUGAGCUCAAAAUUUGUUCAGUCACCUCAUGUCAUUUCAACAAGAAUCGAGUCAUUUCUGUAAUCAAAACACUUUUAAUCUUCAGGAUUGAUUAACCUUUAUCGCAUGUUGGAGUUUGAUCAAAAUAUUUUGUCAGAAUAAAAUGCUAAACCUCUGUUGAUUUCAAAACAACAAAGAGACAAAAGCAAGACAUGUUUCGGUAAAGGAUGAGAUGUGAUCCCAAAACAAAAUGAAGAAUUUCAUAACAAUAUGAUUGACAUUUCAUCACCAUUCUUGAAUCAGCUCUUCUGGCAAUAUUUGUGUUUUUCCAAGCACCUUCGAUCACAUGUCAUUCUGAGGAUGUUCUGGCGACAACAUGAUUGAUGACAUCAUCUUUCACAAACUCAGCUCGAUUCUUGAAACUCUUGUGUCUGUUCAACUGAAAUGGUCCACGAACCCUCCAUGAUAUUCACAUCUGGUUUGAAUUAUACCACGGUGGUUGCAUGCAAUUUGUCUAUCUGGCAGAUGCUGGUAAAUAAACCCACAUGGCAAAGGAAUGUCUAUCUUUGGCAAAGACAUUGGAGUAGUUGAUGCUUGAGCGAGACUUAACUAGGCAAAAUAACUGAGGUUUCUCAAUCGAGAGUCAUCUUUUGAUUCAACUCUCUUCACAGUUCUGGAAUCCAUAACAAAACCUUCAAUCCUUCCCUUCUUCAUAGCUUGCUCAAUUCUUUUGAUGAUCUUCACAACAUCAUGUCAAUCUUCCAAUGUUGUUGUGGUUGGUUGAGGGUUAUUGGAAAACUUCUACCAGCUUGGUAAUCUUGGUAGCGCACAACACCACCGCUACCGACACGUGGAAUCAUGCCUUAUCUCUUCUAUGGGAGAAAAUGAUGGACAUGAAUCUCCUCUAUUUCUUCUUCGAUUCCUCUCGAACGGUGCAGCAAACAAGCACCAAUAGAGGUUCUGCUCUAUGGAAGUUUCAGUCUUCUUCAUGUUUUUCAGUCUAGGCAUGUCUCUUCUCUCUACUUUUGCGUUUUAAUACUGACACUGUUGGAGGAAAAUCAUUUCAAUUAAAAAAGUUUAAUUUGUUAGGAGAAAAUCUCAAAACCUAUGAUUUCUAUUAUUUUUCACUCAAAUAAAUAGACUAUUAAUGACCCAAUUUCAAGUGAAACAAUAGUAGAAAACAUUGAUUGUCCUAAAAAAUUUAACAUAAGGAUUCCUAAGCAUCUUCUUUCUGUCUCCUAAAACUUAAGAUAUGUACAAUGUUGCGCUACAACGUUUUCAAAAUCAAAUAAAAUAAUUACGGAUGCAUAGAGCUCAUCAUUGUCAAUAAUUUUAAAUUAAAUUUCAAAUGCUCAACAAAAGAACGAAUAUUUUCUCAUGGGAUAUAUUUCAAGAGCUUACUCAGAAUUCCCUAAGGUCCAUCCAGAUAGAGUGGCUGUAUCCUUCAAAGCGUCUCUGAAGCUCUGCUCUUUGUCCAUCGUCAAAGCUUUCUUCUUUAUAAGUGUAGCAAAUGCAUCCCCAAAGCUUCCUGCUUGAUUUCUUACAUGGGAUGGAUCCACCUUGUAGAAUACCGGAAUAACUAUCUGUCCAUUAUUUUUUCUACGGUAAAAAAUAUUUGCAAGCUCCUCCAAGCACCACUUGGAAGAUGCAUAGUUUUCAGAAAAUACAUUCACAGAAAGCUUGGCCUCUUCAAUUGUUCUCAGAAGUGAUGCCGAGAUCUCAUCUCCUCUCACAAGCUGAUAAUCUAUGAAAGUCAGGAUUUGUUUCCGGUUCAAAGCGGCAUAGAGGUGGCUGGUAAAAUCAAAACGAGUGUCUUCGCCUCUGAAACUAAGGAAGACAUCAUAUUUCAUUCCUUGUGGCUGGGCGGUGGUUAAGGUGGAAGGAGUAGAUGGCGAUGGAGAUAGAUGAUGGUUUCGUAAGAUGAAUCUCCAGAUAUAAACAAACAAAAAGAUAGAGAGAAACAAGAAAAACACCGCCGUUGUUUUGUGGAGAAACAGACGAAGAAACAAGAGUAAGACUCUGGUGGCAGGGUAAGUAUGUAGGGAGAGAACAGAAGCAACUCAAAGAAAAAAGAUGUUGACUUCCUGGAAAUUUCCGGUCUUGUUCAUUGUUAAUAAUCUUUCGUUAAAUAAUGUUUUUAUAGAGGAGGCUCGAUCAUUGGUUGAUUUUCUUUGAUAAGCACAACUUUGGUGGGCCAUCUACGCGAUUCGGGUGAUCUUACAUGAUAAUAUCGGCAUCCCUUCAAUCAACCAACAAAGGAAGGAGCUCUAUGGGAUGAAUUUGAAAAGAUGGUGGGUUGCAGAGGCGCAAGGGUUUCUCCACUAAUGGAGGGAGACACAUGUGAGGAGGGUAAAGCUAAGGGGCCUCUCCCUGUUUUGACAAACUACACUAGGACCCACCCCUCGAUGGGGUACAAUGGGACCGCAUGUGCAAAUUUGUUGGAAAGAGUUUUAAGCAGCUUAGCUAGAGUGGGUAGGGUGGUGAAAGAAUUGUCCAAUCAUACUUUCACCAUCUUCUUCCCUCGCUAACAACUGUCCUCUCUACGAAGGUUUCCUUUUUCCUCCUCCUUUGUUAAUGGGUGAUUGAAGGGAUGCCGAUCCUAUAAAAACACUUUGGGGCCUUAAUCAUGCUUACUUUGUUGGUUGAUUGAAGGGAUGCCGAUAUUAUCAUGUAAGAUCACCCGAAUCGCGUAGAUGGCCCACCAAAGUUGUGCUUAUCAAAGAAAAUCAACCAAUGAUCGAGCCUCCUCUGUAAAAACAUUAUUUAACGAAAGAUUAGUUGUGCCAGUUCUUGUCAUUAAAAGCAAUACAGUCUUUUCAUGUGAUCUAUUAUCAUUGUCAUAUUAAAUAAGAACAAAUCAGUUUUUAAAGUAUUAAUGCUGCAUCAUCUAAUUGCGAAUGACACAACAAUCAGCAAUGAAUAUUUUCUCAAGUACAAGGACAGGAACAUCAUGACGCAGAUGCUCCAGAUUCUCACACAUUUGAAAAUGUAUGAAGCCCUUUUAACAGUUAAUCUGCAUUACAGGAAAGUGAGCUCAGAAUAGGAAAAAGAUGUGAAUUUAAGAAGAAGCGCAGCCUAUCAUACUAGACUGAGCAAUAUUAAGCUGUACAACAAGAAAUGAUCAUCUCAUAGCAUUGUCUGGAGCAUUCAAGUAGAAGAAUAACCGAAAUCAACUAAACAAGAUGAAAGACAUUGCGCCAACCCAUUUAAUCAAACAGGCAAAUAGAAGCAGCCAUACAAGAGCUUCAUUAGCUUCAUUACCUAUAACGUAAACCGUGUGUGGGAGAAACACUGUGAGAAAGCUUCAUGCAAACUAAAGACUGAUCCAUCAGCUUUCUCCUUCUUUAAUUCAAAAUUCGCAAAAAGUGAACAGAUAACUCUCUCAUUGUGAAGUUAUCUCCUGCCUAAAAUAGAUGUUUAGCAAUUAAGAAUCAAAAGCUAUAUAACUUAUAGAAGUAAUACAAAUGUAAUAAGAAAAAGAAAAAAACUUACUUCACAAGGUCAACAUUAAGACCCAAUCUUCUAGCAUCGCUCUUGGCUACCAAAAAGAAAAGCAAAAAUGUUAAAAUAAUUAAGCAACUUUCAAUAUUCAAGCCAUUGCAAAAGCUAAGCUAACUAAUCAACAUAUAUAUCUUCCCCUAAUAGCAAAGCUAAAAAUUAAGCAUGAUUAGUGCUUCAGUGACGAAAGGGAACGAACUUUGUUUCGUUUCUAGGUUUAUAGACUGGAUUCAGUCAGCAUUACGACAUAAUCAAAAGGAAGGAGUGAAGUUUGGUUACCGGAAUGGACUAAAUCCAGUUAUUUUACUUGAUGAUAUAUAGGCAGUAGUAUAAUUAGUCCUAUCAAUAAUGUUGGUCUAAACCCAAUAUAAUGGUUAUUACUAUUUCAUUGGGAAGAACUUGUUGUGCAUAGCUUUCGAACCUGUAUAAAGUGUUGAGUGGAUAUCGCCAAACAACCACAAUUACAAUAACACUAUCCAUCAAUAGCCGGUCACCUUAAUUCGUCAUUGAUGCCUUUUCUUUUGACGUCCGGACAUCCUUAUUCCUUAAAGUUGACAUAAUCUAUUAUUAAGUUAUUAAGAUGGUGAUUAAUAUUACCGUUGUAAUUAUUUUUAAAAAAGAAUUUUUUAUUUUAAAAUAUAUUAAAAUAUUUUUUUUAUUUUUAAAAUUUACUUUUAAUAUUAACAUAUUAAAAUGAUUAAAAAAUAUUUUAAAAAAAUUAAUUUAAAGUAUAAAAAAAUUCAAAGUGCAGUUUAACUAUAAAAAUAAACAAUAUCUAGGUUAAUUUAUGGGGUUGCUGAAUCAAUUUUAAUUAAUUAUUUUUAUAAAAAUAAUAUUUUUUUAGAAUUAAUCAAAAUAAAUCAAUUAUGUUAUUAUAAAUUUAAUCUGAUGAAUAAAAUUUUACCAAAUUAAUAUUUUUACCUUUUCAAAUAAAAACUUAACUCGCUUAAAGCUUCUCAUCACGGAUUUUCAAUUCAACCCACUAAGAAAAGUGGGGUUUAAUAACUAUAAUAAAUACAUUUCUAUUAUGCAACCAAAACUUCAACGUCUUCUUGAACCAGCCUGGAAAAUCAAGUCCUCCUGUCAUGAUUUUAAAUACACUUCUCUCAGUGGCAUGACCUUGUAAACUAUUUUGUUUCUGAAUUUUUUUUUCUUAACAUGAAAGACAUGAGGACAUCUCCCCUUUUUCCCUAAUAUCUCCGUCACCUCAUAAGAUUAAUCUCUGUAACCGAGAGCCUGUAGUUUUCACGUUAAGUGACUAUCAUGCUAUAAGCGUAGAUCGAGUGGAGAGAAAUGCAGACACAGGGUUAGCUAUGGCAACACAAGAGGGACAUUUUCAGGACUUCGUAUUGUAUCAUGUGAUCAGAAUACACACUCUGCAGACAUUUUUAACUGCCAUCUAUGUUAACAUGUCUAUGGAGGAUAGAGAUCCCAACCAAAUGGGAAAAAUUGAAUUCUACAGAAACGAAGAAUUGCUGUGUUCUUACAGAAUUUAUCAAGGCCUUUUGACAACUUCACAGUUGCUCCAUUCAGAAGCCAACGCUUUUUAGAAUCCUAGUCUAUUUGGUAGGAGGAAAUUACCAGAGGAAAAUGUAAAACAACAGGGGUAGCAAAACGAAGGAAAAGUUCUUGGUCAAAAACAAGAACAGAGAAGAAGGGAAGCCAAAAAUCCAAUGGCCGCACUCUAUUUCCUGUCUCAUAGAGUAGAAAGAACAUGAAAGAGAAGAAAAAAACCUAGAAGAAGAUUUUUCAACUUGAAAGAUAUUGUGUGAGUUUCAUAACUUGCAUAUCAUUUACUUGUGAUGCAAAGACUAAGCAGAUAAUUACCCAUAUCAAGUCUUUUCUCUUGAAACUCAGAGGACUUGAUCCACCAUUGGAACAUGGACUCAUGAUAGGAACUGGCUUGAGAAGGAAACCAGAAGGCCGAGAAGGCACCAAACCAUGAAUUGGAUUUAAUACACAACUAAAUUGAGUACUUUAUGAGCUGAUUGAGAGAGAUCUUGGCACCAAACCAUGAAUCUGAUAUUUUCAUUCCAGAAAUGUUUCCAACACAAGUUUUGAGGUAAAAUAGAAUGACAAGACACAUGAGCAGAUUUAUAUUCAAUCUAUGCUAUUCUUUUCAUGGAUUGAAAAUUAUAAUUACAAGUAUUUUCUGGAAGUGCUUGAUUUUCUUGUGCAAGAUCUAAGAUUUUCACAAUAUACUUCUGAGCUGUGACAACUUGGCAUCAUUUCAGGAGGCUGAAGCAAUUCUAGAAGAUAUCAGAUUUUCUCCAGUGCAAACACUUGGGUAUGGUGUGGUAAGAAAUCAGAUUGCUUUUUGUGAUACUGCACUAUGAUUAGUCUAUUUCAAUCAUUUCUGCUCUUUUGGAUUUCUUUUCCCCAACUAAAGCCAUCUUUUUUUUAAAAAGGAUAUCUUGUAUCUAGAGAGACGUGUUUAUGGGAUGGGAAUGAUCUUUUUAUUUUGUAGCAAGGACAUAAAAUAAUUACAGGUUGAUUUCUCUUUGUUUUGAAUGCAUGCUUCUGUAUGGUCUAGAGACAUGCUUCCACAAAGAUGUGUAUAUAAUUAACUAGAAUUACUCAUGUUGUUUACAUCAGGUCUUUAUUAAUCAUCAAUCCAUGAUUGAGAAAUAUCUAUUGCGUACCAUGCAAAUGUCCAUUGCAUCCUUUACUUACACUAUAUUUAUGCUGUGGACAGGGUUUUGUUACAGCAUCAUAUACAUUGCUAGGUUUGUACACUUUCUUCCUCAUGAACAGGCUCUCUAUUACUUUUCAAGAACGACUCCCCAAAAUGUUGUGGAGUUUGAAAUGCUUCAGCUGUAUUAUAUAGAACCAAUGAUAAAAAUUCUGGUUUUCUUUAUUUUUUUUUCUUUUUUGUUGCUUUCCUCACAUUCUUCUUGCCAACCAAGCUUGAACUUUGUUUCAGAGUGGGAGAAGACCUUACAAUUUAUUGCCAUCAGUAGCUUCAGUCAGGUAUACUUUUAUUUGUUAUAGUGCCCUGGUUAAUGUUCCUUUUACACGCACAUAGAUGUUGAUUUCUAAGCUGAUAAUGAGUAAAACAAACUUCACACAUUCUCAUAUUGUGCUAGUACUUAGAUCUCCUUUGUCUAUUUUGCAUUGCUAAAUUUAGUUAAGUGAACAUUGAGUUUCUCUAAUUAUUGGUUUCUCACACUCUGCCAGGCUAUUGAUCAGCGGGUUGCUUCUUACAAUGGCCCUGAAGAUUUUAAGCAAGAUGUGAGGUAUAAAAUAGUUUGCUUAGGCUAGUUUUGAGUUUAUUUGAAAGAGUUAUAAAAUGUACAAUAACAAAAUCUUGAAUUUAAAGUUUUUAUGUACUUACUGUUUUUCUUGAAUAAAUGCGCUAGAUGGUUGUUAUAGUUAGUUGAGGAAUUAGUUGAAUAACAGAAAGUUCGUUAGUCAGUUGCAAGGGAAGAACAAUAUUUACAGCUAUCUUGAAAACCAAGUAAUAAUUGAAGAUCAAUUUGCAGUAAUUACAGAACUCUCUCUCCCUUUCUAUUUUCUUUUAUAUCUCCCAAAAUUUUCUUUUGAACUUUUUGUCCGCUGGUAUAUUUUCAUCAAAGUGCAAAUACACCCCCCAGCUUUUCAACUCCAAAGGCCUUCGGAUCUCAUGACCUACCUCCCUCCCACAAUACACUCCAAGGUUGCAGAAAUUAAAUGUAACUUCAUUGCCAGAAUAUUUACGUAAAUGAUUUCCCAAUUUGAGCUCGUAGUGUAGAAUCAUGUGAUAUGAGUCACAUGACACCAAGACAUCUGUUGGAAUCUGUUCUUCCCAGAAAGCAAAGACGUCGACUUCAUAAUGCUUAUCGUUUUUACCCUUAACAUGGUAAUCACAAUAUACCUUAUGGAAGGGAAGAGGGCCUAGAAAGACAAGGCAGAAAGCAAUUCCCUUGAGCUGAUGACAAUUUGAGGGCAACUGUAUGGUGACUGAAGAUCCAAUUCCUUUGUCACCGAACCAUUCUGGAAUUUCACUCCCCGGUAGAACCAUUUGAAUACUGCCAUCUGGGAUCUUCUCUCCGGACUGUAACACAAGAGUCACAUUUCGAAAAUGUGAUGAAGCAAGCGAGAGAGAGAGAAGAAAGAAAGACAAGGGGGUUUAGAGAGAUACCUGAAUUUUCAAAUGCAUUACUGCUACCAGUGGUUUCUGAUCCAAUUUGAAGCAAUUUGUAAAAUCCAAUUGAUCAUGCCAUAAUCUACCGAUAUUUAUGAUUGAUAUUGCGGUUUCUAGUGAUGCACAAUCAUUUGUACGUAGACGCCUCAGCGAAGGGGGGAGCUCAGGUAACGUUUUAAUAGACGUUCCAUCUAAAUAUAGAGUUGUCAAAGAUAUCAUAUGCUUAAAUGAUAUCAAAGGUAUCUCUUUAAUGCCUGUUUUACUCAAGUCAAGAGCCCGCAAAGAUUUCAUAGGCACUGUGAUUUCUGGGAAGCUCUCAAGUUUUGAGCAACCACUCAUAUCCAACUUUUGGAGUCUUUUGAGAAGCUGGAUUGAUGAGGGCACCUCUUUAAUAGCAGUUCCCCUUAGAUUUAACCGCUCUAUAUCCUCUAAAUUCUCUGGAAACUUGGUCAUCUUUGAGCAACCAUCUAGAUUAAGACGUUCCAACUUGCCAGUAACUGAUUGUGGAACUUCUUUGAUUGAAGUUUGGUCCAACUGUAACCAUUCCAUAUUUUGUGAAAUCGUUGGACACGUGGUCACAUCUAGGCACCGACUUAUUAAAAGGUCUCUGAGAACCUUUGAAUCAAGCAUUGGAAAACUUCUAAGAUUAUAGCAACCACGGAGAUCAAUUUCUUCCAGCUUGUCAAGAUAUUGAAGAGAUGACGGAACCUCGGUUAAGCUUGGACAGUCCUCUAGUCUUAAGCGCUCUAAAUUUUUGGCCAUUGAUAGAUCUGGCAAUUCCGUCAAAUAUGGAGACUCAGAUAGGUCGAUUGUUCUUAAAUUUCCAACAUCCUGUCAACAGAAAAAGGCAUAAUUAGAAAGUUAGCAAUUAAAUCUGUAGCAAUUAAAUCUGUAGCAAUUAAAUCAUACCUUUACUCCUAUCCAAAGUUUUACAAGCUUGCUUUUGCGUAGGUGAAGCUCGACAAGGUGUUCAACAGGAAAAGAUGGCGGCAAGGAUUUCAAAGGGAAUCCAUCCCAUAGCACAUAUCUCAGCUCUUUAUGAGGAAGGUCCAUUGUAAAUUCAUCAGUGGAGGCAUUAGAUUCCAAGUUUAUGUUUCUCGAUAACUCGUCAUUGUCUAAUAUUCUUGUUGUUUCUUGGUCGUGCAUCCAUCCUUCGAAGAAAUGUGCUAUGUCAAGAAAUAUGGAUUUUUGUUCUGAAUCCAACCCAUCGUAACUAAUUCUCAACGCCCUUUCGAUUUGAGGGUUCUGGGCUAGUUUAUUCAAUGCACUCUGCCAUUCUUCGAUGCUUUUACCAUCAAGAGAGGAACCCAAAACUUUAAGAGCCAACGGAUUGCCUUGUACAUGCCUUACAAUCUGUGCUAUCAAGUCUCUCUGAUCAGUUGUGGGGAUGCAAUUCUUCAAGGCUUUCGAUCUAAAGAGUUGAAUAGCGUCUUUAUAGUUCAACCCCUCAACCUCGUAUGUCUCAUCAACUACAUUACUAAGCACUUGCUUGUCCCUACUGGUUAUGAGAACUUUACUGCCCGGACCAAAUGAAUUGUUUCGUCCAUCAAGCAAAUCUUUCCAUUCUUCAAAACGCAUUAAAUCAUCCACAUCAUCCAGAACAAUAAAAACCUUCAUACGACGAAGUCUAUCCCUCACAAAAGAAUCUCGAAAACUCAAGUAGCCUAUAGUGUUCGGAGUUUCUUGGCCAAGCAGCUGUUUAAGAAAUUUUCUUCGUAAAUCAGAUUGUUGCCUAAAGUUUUCAAAAAAGAUUGCUUCAAAUCGAGAACAAACCUUGCUGCACACAGCUUCAGCAAUCGUUGUCUUACCGAUACCACCCAUUCCCCAUAUCCCUAUAAUGAGAACAUCUAGAGAAUUUAUAUUUAACAAAGACUCAACUUUGCUAACACGAACAUCAAUUCCAAUUAGACCAGCCGUAGUGUGACUUGAUCCGGAGGAAGACGUGGCAUGCAAUUUUUCCAAAACAUCUCCAACGAUUUUCUCAAUAAAUUCAGACUCCAGCCUGACAAACAACCACUUAAAGCCUUAAUAUUUAUACAAGCAUUUCGUUACAAAUAAUAUUUUUUUUCAAAAUUAUUUUUAAUAUAAACAUAUUAAAAUAAUUUAAAAUACUAAAAAAAUUAAUUUAAAAUAAAAAAAUUUAAAGUUUUUACAAAACAUUUUAAAACACAAAACAAACAACCACUUAAUAACUAUACAAACAUUUUACAUUAAAUAAUAAUAUUUUAUUUUUUAAAAUAUUUUUUAAUAUAAACACAAAUAAUAUAAAAACACUAAAAAAAAUAAUUGAAAAAAAAACAAUUUGAAAACACAAAACAACCAACCACAUAAUAUCUAUACAAGUGCUUUGCUAUAACAUUUUCAAAAUCAAAUAAAAUAAAUAUGAAAUAAAUAUGAAUUCACAGAGCUCAUCAUUCUCAAUAAUUUUAAAUUAAAUCUCAAAUCCUCAACAAAUGAACGAAUAUUUUCUCAUGGGAUAUAUUUCAAGAGCUUACUCAGAAUUCCCUAAGCUCCAUCCAGAUAGAUUGGCUGCAUCCGUCAAAGCGUCUCUGAAGCUCUGCUCUCUGUCCAUCGUCAAAGCUUUCUCCUCUAUCAAUCUAGCCAAUGCAUCCCCAAAGCUUCCUGUUUGAUGUCUUACAUGGGUUGGAUCCACCUUGUAGAAUACCGGAAUAACUAUCUGUCCAUUGUUUUUUCUACACUCAAAAAUCUUUACAAGCUCCUCCAAGCACCAUUUGGAAGAUGCAUAGUUUUCAGAAAAAACAAUCAAAGAAAGCUUGGCCUCUUCAAUUGUUCUCAGAAGUGAUGCCGAGAUCUCAUCUCCUCUCACAAGCUGAUUAUCUAUGAAAGUUAGGAUGUGUUUCUGUUUCAAAGCAGUAUGGAGGUGGCUGGUAAAACCAAAACGAGUGUCUUCUCCCCUGAAACUAAGGAAGACAUCAUAUUUAAUUACUUGUGGCUGGGCGGUGGUUAAGGUGGAAAGAGUAGAUG